rnacentral:lncRNA from 1 species
AGAAGGAGACAGGACGGACUUCAUCCUGAGCACCAGAUCUUAUGCGAAGAUGGCAAAACCGGACGACUACCAAACCAAGCAGCUGUUUGCCUACGGCGUGGUUGAGGUCGAAUUCAGAAGGGUUCCGUGCCGAUACCCCGGCCAAAACCUCCUUGUCAGCGUCAAUGAACACAGCAGAAACCCUUCUUACUUAGCUAUCAUCCUUUUAUACGUCGGCGGCACAAAUGACGUCACAGCUGCGGAGUAUUGGCAGGUAUUCAGUCAUCCAUUAUCCCAUGAGUUUGCUACAAUUUGGUUUCAAGUAGAAUCAAAUUAAACCAUAAAUCGACAUAAACACGAACAAGAGACCACUACUCAACAAGACAAUGACCUUGCUUUCUCGUAAUUUCGAUUCAGGAUGACUAUCAAGGGUGGAACCGGAUGCGCCGAGUGUACGGAGCAGUGUUCGACACGCAAACUCCGCCAAGAGGCGAUUUGUACCUGAGGUUCCGAGUGGGUGGGUCUUGGGUGCAGCCAAAGCGCGCCCUCCCUGCUGACUGGAAAGCUGGUGCUGUUUAUGACUCCCAAGUGCAGCUGAACUAGAAAAGCCAAAAACCAGUCCCUUUCUUUCUGUUGAUUGGGAAAGUGCUUGCUUGCCUUUUUCAUUACAGCUAGGUAGGAAUACCUCAGAUAUGGCCAAAGACAUGGCGGCAUUAGUGUUGCUGAUAGAAACAGGCUUAGCUAAUAAGCUAGGUAAGGGCAGGCUUUCUGCCUGCCUUGGCUAAAUAAAGGUAGUCUCUGUACCAUUUUAUCAAUGGGAUGUGGGAUUGUAGUCUUCUCUUUCUGUUGGUGUGACUGGCUAUAAUAAAUGAGAUUGGUGUUCCCUUAGGCGGAUAAAGUUGCACUUUUGCCUGCUAUAAAAGGUCCAUCCAGCACUCAGGCUGUCCAGAAGGAGUCCACUAUACUUUUCAGGUUAAUUAUAUGACAGCAUUCCUCACCAGAACAAUUGUCUUUAUCCAAUUACCAGCUAUAGGUACACUCAAAUUAGGAUGAAUUCAAGAAAAUUACGGCCCGCAAAGGAAGCUUACCAACCAAAUAAGCAAACUAUACUACUUUCAAAUUAGGUAAAUAACUACACUUUAGAAAAAUUAUUUGCCUCAAAGGACAUGUUACCAAUUGUCAUUUUCCAGAACCUGCGAGCAAAUCACUAUUGCAAUUGUUGAUAAUAAUUACGACAAUUUUCGAUUAAUUACUAGGUUUUAGCAUUUUUUAGGUUACCAAAAUUUAUGGCCAAAUAUGUCAAAGAUUUCUUGAAAUUAUAGAAAAUUCAGGUAUAUUAUGACCAGUCAAGGUAAAUUAAUUACCCAUGUAGCAAAACAUACUUUGAAGGUAAAUUACUUCAUAUAAAGGGAAUUACUAUUUUGAGCAAAAAGAAUUCUGCAAGUAGGGCUACUAGUUGCUAUUUAGAAGAACUCACAGCAAAAUCAUUACGUUUGAGGAUAGUUCCAAUAAUAUGAAGUUAAAUUACGGGUUGGCAUUCUCAUAUCACCAAAUCUUUGGACAGAUUAUUGUCCAUAACAAUAAAUUAUUGAUUACAGAUGCAACUAAUAUUACAACGUACUAAUAAAGAAAAUUUUAUAAUGCAAAAGUAUUACUUUUAACAGUUGAAAUGCAUCGAAAGAAUAAUUGAGUAAUUGAACUAUACUGAAAAAGCUAAAAUUAAAAUCAACAUACUAAUUAUUAUGACAUGUGGAUGCAUGUUUUGAUAAGCGGGGCGUAUUUAAUAACGAAAUCAAAUAAUUUAUCAUGGCACUUUUCAUUAUAAAAAACUCGAGUUGUUAGGUUAGGUCGGUCGGGUCGGGUCAAAGUCCUACUUUGCACAAUUUCCCGCGUAGAAGCUCCGGUGCUUCGCUUCAUUCUCUUCGCUCCGACUCUCUCUCUCUCUCUCUCUCUCUCUCUCUGCGUUCGUAUUUUCUGUGGAGUCAUCAAUGGAGUUCGAUGCAGUUGCAGCAGAACCCUAGCCCUCCCGCGACGUCGACGGCGGCAUCUUUCAUGCGCUUCUCCUCGGAUCAUAUUCAUUCCAUCUCGGUCCCUCUCUCUCUCUCUCUCUCUCUCUCUCUCCAUCGAGUAAUUCCCCUCCUCUUUUUGCUUCGAUCGUCGAUGCUGAGGAACUCUCGAAUCUUUCCUCUUCUCAUCCCCUCUCUCUCUCUUCCGGAUUUGCAGAGCUCGUGGACUGGCGAUCCUCCUCUCGCGGACCUCGUCUUCUCUCGGCCGACUCAGCGCUCGAAGCUCAUUUCGAAGACGCGGCCGCUAGGGCUCAAGUACGUGGCGCGUUCCCCUUUGUCGUAUUCCCUGAUUGUGGAUGGAUUAUCUUCGUCGCACUAACUGGUGUGGUAUUCUCAAUCACGAGUGGAAAACGUAAUCGAGUCGAAGCGGUUGAAACGUGGUGUGGAUAUUUUCUGAUGUUCGCGAGGAAGUCGUAAUGGUAAAUUCCUUGCGUUUUGUCUAAGCACCAUCAUUACAUAUUAGACCGGUUACUUUUCCUUGCAUAUAGAGGUGGCAAAUGAGUGGAUCGUGUUAGGUAUGGGUCGAGUCGAAAAUGGUUCGAUUCAUAGUUGAUUCAUUUAAUCCGUUUUGACUCAUAUUCUUAUAGUGUAAAUCUAAUGGUCCAUACUUAACCUGAUCCAUAUCUGACCCAACUCAUAUUGCUAAAACCCACUAAUAUCUAGAAAAACCCACGCUCACUUUAAUUGGACAAGAACCUCAAAUUAAAUUUAAAAAAAUAGUAAACAAAAUAAUAAUUGUUAAAAAAACCUAUAAAUUGAAAUAUUUAUGAAGAAUUAGACUAUGGACAUGCUUCUCUUAUUUAAAGUGAGCAUACUAUUAAGCAAUUGAAAACUGCAACUUGAAAUUGAAACUGAGUAUUAGCUAUUUGAACACUAUCUAAUGAAACAUCUGCGAAUGCAAGAAUGAAAAUAGUCUUUGCAAACGGUCUUUCACAAGUCGGAUUUACGCGAGAUUCAUCAAAUCUGGAAUUGAAAGUAAAUGCUUCUCUCAAUAAGAAUCUCAUUUGCUCGUUCAAAGAAAAUAAUUUUAUAGCUACAUUUGUAAUUCAAACAAAACUGUCCACUCUCUUGGAAAUCCUGGAAAGACAGACAAAAAAGAUGCAGUGAAACUUCUCCACGUACAGUUAUCACCCUUCCCUCCUUCCAAACUAAGUCGACUUUAGGUCAACCAAGUGCAGAACAUGACCAAAUCCAAAUAUGAUGAUAUCUGGAGGUAGAUAUAAGCCAAGAACUCAUUCAGCUGGAACAAGGUUGUGAUUGUGCCCCAUUUAAGCCGCAAAACCCAACCCAAAUCAAACAACCUCUACUGCUAAAAACCCCUCAGUUCGGACGCGGAAGCUGAGGAAACGUCAUUUCUCCUAUGCAAAUUCUUCAUCAUCUUUCACCGCCAGAAAAUAGACUAAGAACAAAGAUAAGAAAAAGAAUCACACGCAUUGAUAGCAGCAGCAGAAAUUGAGGAAACUAAACGAAGCACGCUCCACGCAACAGAUAUAAAAAGGACAAGGUGACGGGCCAAGAGAAAGACGGGGAACUCACGGAAGGGUUGGAGGGAUCGAAGAGCCUGAAAUGGCUCAAGUUGUGCUAUUGAGGCAAAAAUCGACACCCGCAAGCUAGACUUUCAUGGCGUGAGGCUGAAGCUCGUCGACCUUCGAGGGAGCGGUGGAGGUGAGCCUCAGAGGCCGGCGGCGGAGGCGACUCGGAGGUGAGCCGCUGCAGCGAGCGGCGGAGGCGACUCGGAGGCGAGCCGCGGAGGCGAGUGGUGGAGGCGAGCCUUAGAGGAGGGUGGCGGAGGCGACUCGGAGGGGAGCAAUAGCGGUGAGUGGCGGAGGCGACUCGGAGGCGAGCGGCGGAGGUGGGUUAUGAAUUCGAGGGAGCGGCGGAGGCAAGCCUUAGAGGCGGGCGGCGAAGGCGACUCAAAGGCAAGCCACGGCGGAGAGUGGCGGAGGUGGCUCGGAGGCGAGCGGCGGAGGUGGGUGACGAAGGGCAGCUGUCGCUGAGGAAAUUCUAUGUUUUUAAGGUUUUGAAAAUGGGUCAGAACAACCCAUUUUUGACUCAUAUAGAAUUGAACUUAAAACACUUUGACCCAUUUUAGCUGGGCCAUUACAUCUUCCUAACUCAUAUACGACCCAUUAAUGAAAAAUAUGAGUUCAGAAAUGGGUCAUUUUGCCACCUCUACCUGCAUAGAGGCUUAACGGAGCUUUAAUUGCAGUUCUUUCAUGACACUGCCAUCACUGCAACAAUAACUAGUUCAAAGCUCUUCAGUUUUUUUCGCUUGGAGGCGAUCUACUAAAUGUGUUCUUGUAUCUUAUCUAAGGGCUUAAUGUCAUAGUUAUGGGAACUUUCCUCUGGAACAUGCAAAGCAUAGUGUAGUCUGUCGCUCUUAGGAAACAGGUUGUUAAUACUAUGACGUAAUAAGCUUCAAUUUUUUACAGUACAUUUGGAUAUGCUAUUUAUGAGUUGAUCAACUUUUAGCUGCAUUUAUAAGGCUUUUGCUGGUGAGGAGGUUUUCUUGCUGACAACUAAACUUUUUUGCAAACAGCAUGAGGAAACAUGACAGCGCUACCAAACAAGAGGCCAGGGAUUAGCAGAUGAUGGGGUUGUUAAGGUGAAUUUUCUCCUUGUUAUCGCUUUCUUAUAUUAUUUCAAAAGCUAUACUUGGAAUUGAACAUUGGACUAGCCAUACCACGAAGAACUAACAAAUAAUCGAAACUUGAUCCUGCUCAUUUAUCAGAAGAUGUUAAUGACCCUUUGUAAUGGAGCAAUGUGGGAAUAUAUUGAGUUAUGUUUAUUGUAAAAAAAAAAAAAAAAAAAGGAAAUUUCCCAUGACAUCGAAUUAGAAGUUUAAAAGGCUUGUUUGCGGAGUCCUCACAUUGAAAUGCUGAAAUAGCCAUUUUAAUCUUCUCCCAGCUAGUUUACUGACGGAUGUUAGUAUGCUUAUGUCACCGUGUUUUCAUUUUAUUGUAAAAGCGGGGCAAUCGAUUCUUUUUUCUGUAAUUUCUAAAUCAUGGUGCACUGCAAGAAAUCACUACUAAAAUGAACUUUCAUUCUUUUUUAGGCUGGUCUUGUAACUACUCUUAGCAUAAAAACAAUCAUAUUUGGUGAAACAAAUCCGAGGCCUUACUUUUUUUUACUUUUUUUUUUGGUUAGAUGAAGCCUUGUAACUACUCUUAGCAUAAAAACAAUCAUAUUUGGUGAAACAAAUCCGAGGCCUUACUUUUUUUUCCUUUUUUUUUUGGUUAGAUGAAGCCUUACUUGAAUUGUGUUUCCCUAUAUUCCGUUUCUCUGCAUCACGGUCUUAGACUGCAAGUUGCGGUCACAAGAUGAAAAAUGCAAAAUUCUGUUUCACAUAAGAUUGCACAAGCUAAUCACACAAUCUCUCUACAUCAGAGAAAGAAUUAGAUCUGACUUUACCAAUAAACGGCACUUUUAAAGGUUUGCCAACUGAGACAGUAAUUCCAUUGCUGGAAUUGCUAUUGCUGUUGUAAUGAUUAGUUUAGCUCUAUCUGUCAGUACGACACUCGCCAGUGCCUUAUUACAGAUUUGACGUAGUUCUAGUGCUUUGAUACAAAUUAUCCCGAGUGGAAUAUAGUUGUUUCUUGUCGCAUUCUUGGUGAGAUGAGUCAUCAAAUUAACUAAUUUAUUCUUUUUUUCAGUGUAAUUGAACUGACGGAAAAUUUUUGUGUAGCUAAUAAAUAGGGAGAGUCAACUAAAGUUGGUUGUGAUGAAAAUCUAGCAAAUAUUUAGCCAUAUGAAACGUCGAGGUAGUAAAUUAUUUUGGAUUGGACGUAGAUCUAUACAUGGGCUUGUUUGGUUCAAUUUUGGGGAAAUGACUUUGCAUUUCCCCAAGUAUCCUUGGGUGGAUGGGCAUUCUCUGAAAGCAAACCUGUUUGGAAUUGUAUAUUUUGCAAAGUAAUUUUCAGGUGAAAAUAAAAAGGAAAAAAAGAAAAGAAAAGAAAAUGGAGGAGAUGCAGUUGCGUGAUCGUGGGGGAGUGGGUGGUGGUGGCGGCAUUGGUGGUGGUGGUGGCGUCGACACCACCUGAGGUUGCGCGGCCUCAGGCGGCGUCACCUGGGUCGCUCGACCUCAGGCAGCAGCGCUUGGGUCGCGCGACUCAGGCGACGCCCUAGGUCGCCCGACCUCAGGCCACCUCGGCUGAGCCCGGUGGCCAGAUCUGGCCCUCUGGCGGCCAAGCGUCGCCCACCGUGAAGAAGAAGACGAACGGCGAAGAAGAUGGGCGGUGAAGAAGACGAUGAAUAGUGACUCGGAAUCGCAUCUCCAGAAUAGGAAUGCUCAAAGCAGCCCCACCCCAGCAUUAGGCUUUUAGCAUUGGGGAUGCUGGCAUUGGGCAAAUGGGCAUUCAAAAACACAUGCCAAACACAAAAAUAAUCUCAAAAUUAUGGCUAACAAUAAGAAGGUUUGUUUCAAUACAACUCCAGAACCUAGUCAACAAUCUUGUUCAGGAAGUUUAAGUAGCCUAGUGUAAUUUCUGGGUCACUGAGAAAUAGUUGAGCUAACUCAGGACAGUGGCUUCAGAUCGAAAAAAAAAAAAAGGACAGUGGCGGAGGUCAAUAUCUGUGUUCUGAUGGGUUUCUUUAGCAUUCUUCUCUUACCAUUCCAAAAUGGGUAGCAUGGCGCAUUUAAUUUUCUCAUUAAAUGGUUCAUGGUUAGUUCAAAGUAGAAGAACAUUAGCAACAUCCUUUCUGGAAUAAUUGGUUGAAGCAUGAUAUUUGCCUAUUUGUGCUGUAGAAAGGCUAACAUUGAUGACAAAGCUUGAAAUCGGACGCAUUUUUAUAUGAGCUUCGUAGGCAUCUAUUUCAUACUGAGGCAAGUAUCCCAGUCUUUCAAGUUGCUCUAGGGGAACUGCCUGAGUUCUGGCUUCUGGGUCUAUUUUGAUUAUUGGUAAACCAUGACUCAUAUUGUCAUAGAUAUAACUUACAUCCAAGGUCCUGGAGAGGCUUCUGAAAUUCAAAAUGCCCUGUUCCACUUCUUAACUUAGACAUUCUGGUCACCAUACUCCAGGAUUGAGGCACCAGAAGUUACUGGGGCAAAUAGCCAGUCUUUCAAGUUGCUCUAGGUGAGCUGACUGAGUUCUGGCAUCUAGGUCUAUCUAGAUCAUCAGUAAACCAUGAUUUGUAUUGUCAUAGAUAUAAUUUACGUCUGAGGUCCUGGAGAGGCUUCUGAAAUUCGAGAUGAUUCUACUUUAUACUUCAGCCAUCUAUUAUGUGCGUUGUGAAAUCAGCUAGAAUGUGACUAUUGAUCUUUCUAUUCUCCAAUAAUUCUAUUAACGCAUGUGGUUUUUACAUGCAAUUCAUUCUCAUCGACACAACUUUUCCUUGGAAAAAUAUUGAUGCAUUGGAUCUGUGCAUUUCCUGUAGGUACAUUCUCUUUGUAAAGGAUGUCUUAGAAUGGUCCUUAAUAAGGAGGCUGAAAAAAUUCAUCAAGCUAUUGUCAACCUCAGUGUACUUCUGCUACUCAGAAUGCAGAUUAUAUAAACUCCCUUGCUUAAUUUUUUCUUUUAUCUCUUCUACUUGUCUAGGUCUACCUUUUCUUUUGUUCGUUGAUUGUUGUGCAUUUCAUGACAAUCCAGCAAGGACAACUGUGCGCAUUUUGGAAAGUUUGAUUCACCUAGCUGAAAGUAUGAUACCAUCAAUAUAUGGCCAUGUUCUUAAAGUAUAUACUAUUUUGUGCCGCUAAAAAAUGUUCCAAGGCCGAUUAUAUCACAUGCAAGAUUAAUGUUCAGAAAUGAAGUUUCACAUGCAAGAUUAAUAUUCAGAAAUGAAGUUACCUAUCUUGAUCCAAUUGUAUCCAUUAGCCAUUGUGGACAGCAUUUGAAAUGCUCUUCACGCCAUUUUUGGUGAAAAUGUUGAUCAUGAAAUCCUUGUCUGUUCCUAGUCCUAUUGUCAUUCAUCCAUGCACAAACUCAAUCGUUGUACUUAUUUUUAUGCAUAUGUCAGCUCGCUUUAACUACAAGCGUGUGUCCAUGUUUUGUGUUGGCUUUCCUAGAUUUGUGACUUAGCAGAACUUUCGUUACCCACAAAAAGAACUAACCAGCGGUAAGAUCGAGAAAGUUAAUAGCUUUUCUAUAUUUGAUGAGUUUUGCAUCUAAGUUGGGUAAUUCUGUAAAACAUAGUUGUGAAUGAGCUUUCAAGACAACGAUAAUCAUUUGCCAGUUGUAUUUGUUGAUUCAAGAUUAGAGUCACUUAUGCUACCCACUUUUAGUUCAAGAUGAUUUGAAGACACAAUUUUCGGUGGAAGGACCCCCGUAGAACUAUGUUAUUUUUUUGCUUAUAUAUUUGAUUUAUUUUGUCAAAUGUUGGUUCUAUUCUGGAACUUUUCAUCGCAACAUGGAUGUAAUAUUUAAUCGGCAUCAGUUUUAUUAGAAGCUCCAGUUAUUUUCAUGCAAAAUAUUGGAGCACUUGUAGACAUAACAAUGGACUACCACAGCAACGGUAUUGAGUGACAAGCUGCCCUAGACAUUGAGAAUGGUAAGACCUCUUUGACAGAACGGCUAGUCUGUGGCCAACCUCUCAUUAGUUUACCGCCAUGGGUCACCCAACAGAGCCAGUCCAUGUUUUCCUUGGAAGGGGGAGCAUGAAAAGAGGGAUCACCUGAGUGUCUUUCAGUAGUAUUCAGAAAGCUUUCGCGAGAUGCACAGGAUGGUAGGCACGUGAAAAUAGGACCCUCCACUGAUCUCUAUCCUCUUCCUUUUUUCUUUCCUAUUGUGUACUCCGGGGACCGAACUUGCGGAGAUGUCAAAUUGAUAAGAUUAUGGACGCUUAACUGCUUAUUAAGGUUUGGGUUAGUAUAACUGCUGCAUGUCUAGUAACUAUGCUGUCGUGUAAGAAGAGGGUUGCUAAAGCUGGUAAAGGGGCUGCUUCAUUAUUUUGACAAUGAAAAGCUAUGGCUGGGUAGAGAACUAUUUUAAUGAGAAUCGUCGAGCCCAUUUCUUGGUCUUUAACCUGCUUGUGGGCACCGUAACAAUUCCUCUCUUGCUUCUGGGAAGAAAAGACUAUGAAAAUGAUGAAAUAGAUUAGUUAAACAUAUCCCAAAACUGAAUAACGUAACGGAAUCUUUACGGCCCAAUAUUGGGCUUGAUGGCCCAACCACGAGCCCGUUGGGCCACGAAAGGAGAUGAACGUUAGGCCUAACUAGGGUGGACGGAAGAAAUGUAAUUGGCCUAAUUCUGGGCCCUUAAAGCAUAAUGCAUUGGUCUCAAACUGGUCCAGACUUGGUUUAAGAGCCCCUCUAGUGGGCCCACUAAUGGGCCUCGUCUGCCCAUUGAAGGCCCAAUACUGAUCUCAUGUGUCAAAGCCCAUUCGGACCCGGCCCGACAAUAGGUGGACUGCGGAUAAAGCUGGCCCAUUGAGGGCCCAAUGGCCCAUUCAGUCUCGGCCCAGUACUCAUGCAAAGUGCACGCCGGCCCAAAAAGAGGCCUUGGGUAUGCCCACUGGCCUGUUAAUAUAGGCCGAACACAUUGGCCCAAUGGGCCUAGAAUAAUUAACUGCUUGAAGCCCAUUGGGGCUUGGCCCAAUAAGCGUACAAUGGGCCUACACGAAUCCCAUUGGGCUCGGCAUGUUGAAAUAAUUGGGCCUGACUGUGGGUCUAAGUCCCAAUGUGUGAUGGGCCUCACCUGGGCCCAUUAAACUCGGCCCAAUAAAAUUAUAAUAGCUUAUUGGGCCCAGCCCGUAAAAGUAAUUGGCCUCAUUAUGCCAUUUCUUUGGGGCACAAGGCCCAGUAUGUUGGACCUAAUUUGGGCCCGACUACUGACCUCUUGGAGCUCAAUAGGCCUAAUAUUCACUUAAUCUUUAAAGACCCUAACCAGCUCAAACCUAAUAUGGGCCCGAUAGAACCUCAAUUCACACCCAAUAUUUUAGCCAGUGGUAUGGGACCCAACUGCGGGCCCCGGCUGUUGGUCCUAUAGGCCAAUAGAUUGAGCCUCGCCAUAGGCCCUCUUUUGAGCACGGCCGUCGGCCAGGGCACCUUAGGCCUCACCCGAGCCAACUUCCAGAAUAUCGAGAAAUCCAAUGAAAAAGUAAAUAACGGGCCAGAAACAUCUCGAGUCAAUAAGCUCAAAUUACGAGUAUGAUCCAGAAAAGAGUCCAAUAUUAAGAAAUACAAUAAAAAGUUGCUUCAACCACAUAUGCAGCAAUUCCAUAAUGCCCCGUGCUUGAAGCCGAAUGAGCGCUGUUUGACCUCCGAGACAUGCUGGGGCCUUGGAUUAUCAACAGCUCCUGGAGCUGCUCCAAGUCCAACGAAUUCAAUCAGUCUCCUCCCUGUAAAAGGACAAAUUAUUAGAGAGAGUUUUCAAUCUGGAGAGAGAAAACUGAAGGCAUCACCAUCAAUUCAUCCAGCAAUUAUCCUACUUUUAAUUUGAACAGUCAAGACUACUAAAAAAGCUUGUAUUUCUAGUAUUUUAUAAGCUUAAGGCAAUUUCGACAAAGCAUGUUCCUCAAAGUCAGCCAUGUAUAUUCAAACUGAUGAACAAACAGAUUAUCGGCAGUGUUGUUGAACAGGACUGACAGUUGUGAAAAGCAGAGACGGUAAAGUGCAACUGGUUAUGGAGUGGAUAUCGCACAAACAGAGAUCGCAUGAUUCACCGAACACAGAUAGCUGUCACCAUUCAGUCAGUCCUGACCAGAACAAGCCCCAUGAUCUGGCUAGCUUCAGGGCAAAAAUAUAACAGGGUUUAAUAUGUGCUGGUGUAUAUAAAUAAUUUCCGAGAUCUUGACGGUCUUAUCUUCCAAAAUUUGAUGCCCAAUGCAUAGCUGUUCUUCUGCAGGCAUCACAAAAGUUGGGGAUUAACACCUGCAGUUAUUAUAGAGCCCCUCGCCCACUCACAACUGAAGCCUGCAGCCAAAUGAAUAACUCCUUGACCUUGGGUAUCCAAUUAUUUGGCCCUCUGCCUGCUUCAUGAAGUUUGCAAACCAGCCACCAUGAGACCUCGUCCUUUAGCAAGUAUUGAAGUGCUGCACCUCAAACAUAUGGGUAAUCGAACAUUGUGAAUUUAGAAGCCUCUUUCAGUCUUCCAAUAUCAAAGUCAGCAGUUGUGUUCGUUUGAACUUGUGACAUUCUUCAACUUGCACUUAUCACAUCCACCAACAAAGGAAUCUAACUGGAUCUAUAUAUAACAAUUUUGGCAGAUGUGAUUAAAGACCCCGCUUCAUAUUCUGGUCCAAUAUUAGAAGCCGUAGAUGGCAUUUUACAACAAUCACAUUCUCUUGCCUCACUGCAUGCUAAUCUAUUGCUGCAGGCAAUGAAAAUGGAACAUUUGCAGGAGUGUGAGCAGGAGUCGCACAUUGCAUUGAUGUAUUAGUUAAAGUUUCAGCAGAAACCUCAAUUUCACCAAACAUGCAACCCCGUUUGGUUCAGCAAAAAUUUUCUUGCUAUCCAUUGGAAAAAGAUCAUCUCCAUAUGAAAAAACAAAGAAAACCAAAAAAUGGAUAUGCAGUUAACUGUAAAGCCAGGUUCCAUACACUACCUCUUUCAGUUCUCUACAGUAAACAACAACAAAGUGCUCAAGCUGCCUGAAGAUAAGCAAAAGAGCAAGUCGCACAAUGUAGUGUAUACUCAAUAAUAACUCAUAUUCCCAUAAUGCGGUGCUAAAAUCUUGAAAGACAACAAACUUCUCGUUGUCAGAUGUGAAGAAUUCCAGACCUUUGCUGCUUCACCUAUUUUGUGACUGGUGAGGUUAAACUAACUGAGAAGAUCAUCAUACAAGCUAAUCAUAAUCAUAACAAUACCAUCUACGUGGAUUCACUUCUAGAACUAUAGUGUUUUAUGUUUUGAAUUUGCCUUUCUAUAAACUUCAAGAAUAUAAAGGUAAGGAUGCCAAGAAGGAAGCUUAAUCUACACACACUUUUAAAUGGAACACAAUAUAUAUGCAUCAAAUUUUUUCAGCUGCACUUUUUUGCAAUGACAUGCCGCGACUAGCUCCACAGUUAAGCAAAAAAUGAUUCUGAUGAGAAGAACUAAUUUAACAAAGGCUUUGCACCAAGAUGAUGAAUGCACGCAUUAUUUAAAUCCAUGGCAACACAAUACCACAAACACGUAUUAGAAUUUUCGUGGAUAUCUAAUCAAUGAACCUUUUUUGGCUCUGACACAUCUCAAAUAGCUACUGAGUGAAGCAUAAAGAUGAUUUUCAUGAAAAGGACAAAAAUAAAUUUAAUCAAAGCAUUGUCACGACAUGAUAGCUUCUAGUCAUUGAAAAUUGCAAAACAGAGGGACCAGCAACACCGGCAAAUAGACAAAAUAACCUUUCCAACAUGAAUGGAGUGUAAAUAUGUUCGGAUGCAAGGUGAUUAUUGUAAGUUUAAAGACAUAAAGCAGUUUGACAUGUCAUGUAGAAAAAUCUGCAUGGAGCACUUCCCUAGGCUAUCUGAUCUUUCCCAGUUAACAAUGAUGACUGCAAACUAUGAGUAUUUUCAAAACUUCCCUAGGCUAUCUGAUCUUAUUAGCAUGUAUCUUAUUAGCUUAAGCUUGCAGCUCUCUAUGUUCCACAAUCUGCUCUCCAAAUGUUAUCGUUGUGUUUUUCUUUCAUGACAUAGUGGUUAUCCAAUGCAGGUAUGUCAAGCCACCAAUUUUUACUCUCUGUGUCGGUAAUGCAUGGGGAGAAGCUGCCUUACUUUUAGCAGCUGGUGCAAGGGGGCAUCUUCAACAAUCAUGAUGAAGCAGGUUGAUGAAGCAGGUUUUUCCUGCACCUUUGAAGUUCCUAAGUUAUUUAUACCUUUUAUUUCGUGGCCUUUUCAGAGUCUACAUUCUGUCAGGGAUCAACUUAGGCAGCCUGCUUGAAUUCUAAUAAUUCUUGUGUAUCUUCUAUCUGUGAAUUGCUAGCCAAUUGCAAGAUUUCAAGGUCAAGCAACAGAUAUCGAUCUUGCCAGGAAAGAAGUGAAGAAUGUCAAGGCGGAGUUGGUAAGAUAAAUCACUUUGUUGGUUUGAGAUAUCUGUGAGAUUUGUCUUCUAUAGGCAUGAGAUUACUAUUCUGGUGGAUGACAUGAUCUAAUCAAUGCACUUUAAUUCAAAAUCAGAGUGAGCUGAUCUCGCAAAAGCGCAGCAAAUCAUGGCCAUUUGCUCUUUGAAGCUUUCAUGUCCAUCAGUUUUAAGUUAAUCAAAGCAAGAGGUCCUUCGGAUUGGAUUCACCCUUUCUACCUUGGGCGAUGUCCUUUAAAGUCAAUACUACUACUACAAAUAAAUUAAAGGAAUGCAUAAUUUGGUUGAACUGGCUUGCUGCUUAAUUGUAGUUGAUUAAUGCUUGCUAACAAGCUCUGCCCUCUAUGUUAGCCCACAACUGAAGCAGAUAGCUUACUCAUUUUAAAUAAUAAGGCCUAUCUAUAACCGGAAAGUGAUGAUCUUUUGCUUUAUUAUGUGGAUAAGUAGAGGUCAUAUUACAUCUGUCUGAGCUUCUUCUACUUAUAGAACAUCAUAGACCACCUACUUCGUGCCGCAUUCUAAAAGUCCAAGUUAGGUCCAAAGCUACUCCACUAAAUUGAAAAUGAUCUGCAAAGCUUCAGAGAAAGUCUUCCAGUGUUUGUUUAAAAAAUUGAAAACUUUACAGAUCAAGAGAAUAUUGUUACUCGUUUCUUUGUCAUCCUGGCUCUUUUUGGUUUGCCUCUUUGCUUCAUCAUGUUAACUGAAAUGUGGUACUAGUAGAGGGUCGGUUCUUUGCAGGGUUCUACGAAUGCGUGUUUAGUGUUUUUCUCAUUAGAUCGUUGUGUUGGAAUGAUGUUCUCAAUAAGUUCCAAUUCCAAUACAGAUAGAAGAGCCUGUUUUAAUUACCAUCUAGAGGGUGGGGGCCUAUCUUGUAGAAACUGGCAACUAUGUACAUAUAAAGGAGUGAAUUGAGCAAACGAAAGAAUUUACUUUUGGGGUCUUGUGAUGCUUCUUCGAGACACUGAAGUGGGAACAACUUCCUGCUGACAAUUUGUGAAGGUUAAACUCUAUACGAAGCAUAUUGGAAAAACACCAGAGGAAAUCGAAGCUGACAUCCGAUGACCUAAAUAUUUUAGUCCUAGUGAAGCGGUUGAGUAUGGUAUCAUAGACAAGGUAUGCCCACUGUGUUGUCUACUUGAUUUUGCUUGAUUUCAUGGUGUGCUUAGUAUGGUUACCUCACAGGUGCUAUACAAUGAGACGAGCAGUGAAGAUCAUGGAGUUGUAUCUGACCUGAAAAAAGCGCAACUUAUAUGAUAACGAUGCUGUAAAAUGAAAUUGCUAUUUAUACAGGGGAUUCAGGUAAAGAAUGAGUAAGAUAUUCUUCAACGUGUAAAUUUUUCUGUCAAAAAUUUUACAUAUACCCACUUUGUAUAUUCAGCAGAUUGCACAACUAAUUUGUUGUUAGAGAGUAUGCUUGUUAUAAUAAGAAUGAAAAGAAAAUGUGCAAUACAAAAUGAAGACAGCAGCUAACGAGAAUUGGGUACGAGCAAAAGCUUCAACUUUGGGAUCAUAUGCUCCUAUUGAACAUUUUCUCUCGAGUCUUCUUCUGUUAUCCAAAUUUUGUCAAUGGGUCGUUCCUCUUAGUUCAGUGUCAAGGAGGUUCUAGCAAGGGAGAAGGAUAUGCUAAUCCUUUUCAUGGACAUCCCACCUUAGUGUUGCCCCAUUUUUGCUCUUUUGCUUUUGCAAAACUCUAGUGACUUGACAUCUGGAAAGAGUGGUGGCACAACCUUCUGGUUCGACGAUGACAUUGCUUUCCCUGAUCUGAUUUUGUUGUCAUGAUUGUUCUUCCUGAAAUUAGAGAGGCUGGGGAAAGGCCUUGCUGGUUGGUAGAUCUUGCAUCUAGGCUGAUGGGACAUUAGCCGGGUGUCCCCUGUUGCAUUUUGAAGUGCUGAGGACCCGCCCAUCUAGGAGUGGUAUCUUUUGGAAUAUUACAGAUAGUCGGCAUAAUGCAUCCAUUGCUUUUCAGUAGAUAUUUGCAUUAGCAAGUAAAUAUAUGAUUGAAAUGAAAUGACUCAAAAGAAUUGGCUUUUUAGCUCAGAGGUCACCUACAAAAUCCGCUGAGCUGUUCGGUUGAAAACAUGCAGGUGACAUUGUCAAUAACGGUUCUGACGCGCAAUUCCCAUCAACAUCAGAAAGCCUAGGUGUCAGCUAUGAAGUGGGAAUGAGACUUCUAAAGCUCACAGUAUUGGAUUUAUUGCUAGAUGCCAUUAUACAUGUAUUUUCACAUCUGUAAGGUCUAUCUCGUGUAGUUGCAUAGGCAGCAUCAUUGUCUCUUUUUUAAUUUGAUUUGUCAACAGUUGAAACAAUAAGUAGGAAGAGCUUGUUAAUGUACUAUUUGAAUAAUGAUGUGGUUUUUUAGUCGGUUGAUGCUUCCGUUCAUGACUAUAUAGGAAUCAAGCCACGUUUCCAAUUAGCAAAUCCGAAUUUACAGGUUGCACGGUGACUCGGUUCCAAUGUAAAAAGUCAGCCUACACUUAGCGUGAUUCUUGGCAUGGUUUUUCCUACCGUAAAUCAUCAACUACUGAAUCUCAGUGUGUUCCACAUUUGUAGCGUGAAUUAAUUUUAUGCCUCCUAUAAUAAACACCGCAUGUCUGACGAAAAUGAAACGGAACAGAUGUUCAAUACUCUCUCUGUCUCUCUGUCUCUCGAUCGAACUUUGUGGAAGGAGGAGAAGCAUCUAAUCUUAUAUAUGCCUGAACAUGGGAGCUGAACACGUAAAUAGUCCUGCAUUUUCUCCGGUUCUGCUAAUGUCACUUUUUCUGUGCCUGGCCUUCGAAAUUUCUCUCUCUCACGCGCGCGCGCACACGACCAGAUUCAACCUAGAGCGGUGUACUCGUAUUUGAAGUGAGGUUGCCACAUGGGCGGCAAGGAUCCGUAGUCACCUACCCCACUCUGUACCUCAAUCGUGUCUCCACAUCAUGCUCCGCUAAAAUUUCUACCUUUUUUCCUUGCAUAUUGCGUCACUCGGAAUGCUGCUCAAAAUAGGGAAAGGUCUUUGAGGUGUCAAAAACCAAUUUGCUUUAUCUAUCCGUAGUGACAAUCAUUCGGGUGCUUUUAAGCCUAAUUUGCCAUUUGUUUUUUACUGAAUUUCGACAGGGGAAAAAGGAGCCGUAGGUUACCUAGUAUUCUAGAGUUCUUAAGUGCGCUGGGACCAAACGAUGACUCAACCAAAUGAUGACUUGUCGGCAAUGUCCAGUUGUUGAUAGUUCAUAGUUUUGCUUUGACUUCAGCAAAUCAAUUCAAUUCAGAUUUAAGUAGCAAGAGAGUGUUGCUCAGCAACUAAGUGGGUUUUUACUGUUGUGAGUGCUUCUAGCUAUUAGGUUUUCAUUAAAUUAUAUCUAGAAAGCUGUUUUGUAGUCUCAUGAUCCUCAUGUCUCAAUAGUGUUACUAUUUGCGAUGAACUCGACUGAAUUUUUUGGAUACUUCCAAUAGCAAUUUGGCGCCUAAUAUACAUUUGUCACUCCAAAGACGAUUGCAAACAACUUACUACUCAAUAUGUAAUAUUACGUGAUCAAAGAAUUAUAAAUGAAUGCCCCAUUUUGAUAAUAGCUUCAUACUUAUAGGGGAAGCGAAAGAGAAGUAUUUCAAGCUAAUGAAAAGAGAUGAAAAUCUUUCCUAAGAUCAAAACCCUCAUGUCUCAAUGGUAUUACUGUUUGCAGUGAACUCAACUGAAUUUCUUGGAUACUUCCAAUAGGAAUUUGGCCCCUGAUAAACAUUUGUCACCAUAAAGACAAUUGUAAACUUACUACUCAAUAUGUAAUAUUACAAGAUCGAAUAAUUAUAAAUGAACGUCGCAUUCUGAGAAUAGCUUCAUACUCACACGGGAAGUGAAUGAAUAUAUAUCAAAAUCUAUCAUGAGAUGAAGAGAUUGCGAAAUGCUAGUACUACGCAUAAGUUUGGGAUUUCUUCGUUUAACUAGAAGGUCAAUUUUCUAUGAAUGUCGAAGCACAAUGUGUUAUGAGUCAUAGCACGCCGGAUUAAUUGCAGAUGCAGUGAGCUGACCAAAUGAGAAAAGAGAAGCAAAAGGUUAUUAAUAUAAUAAGCCUUCCAAUUGUAGUUUAUGUAAUGAUGAAAUAUCUUAGUGAAAGGGUCCACGGAAGGUCCACACGUACUUAUCCAAUGUAUUCUAAUUCUACAAGCUCAAGUCUCCCUUGGGUUCUGUACUAUCUGCUCACAAGUGGAGGGAAAAAUAGUGAGUGGUCCUCAAGAACCUGACCCUCAGGAUCUCAGCUAUAAAUAUGGGAUCUUGGUUAUGAAUGUUUCUCAUCCCAAAACCUUCUUGUCCAUUUCCCUCUCUCUCUCUAGUCGAGUCCUCUAGGCUUGAGUUUACUUGUCUUGCAUUAGGAUCAGUACAUUGAGUGAGACAUGAAAUCUGCAAUGAGCUAUAGUUGUCUUCUCUGUAUCCUGGUGCUCUUGCCAGCACUUUGUCACUCUGAAAAUUCAUUUACGCCCUCGAGAGCCACUUACUAUGGCAGCCCUGACUGCUAUGGGACUCCAAGUAUGUGCACGCUCCGUCUCCUGUGAUAGAAACCAAGCUUGCAUCAGCCACCGCACCACACAAGCGCCGCACAUAAAUUAUGUUCACACAUUAGUGUGAAGCUAGUAGAGCACUAGUCGCUAAAAUAGUAUCGUGUCAUGAAAAGUACACAAAACAACAUUUCUUGUCUUUAAAGUAACUUUUUUAACUUCGUUUAUGGUCAUGUGGCAUGCUCUGUUACAUCAUGAAUAACUUUUCGUGGGUAUGCGCUCUUUCCCUUGAUACUCAGCAGAACGCAAUAUAACAUGAGAAGAUCUGUGUAGUGGCAUGUCUCGCUCGGUACUUGAAGGCUUGGUUGUUCACAUGCACUCUUUGAACCACUCCAUUUCAUUAUGCCCAAACCAAACAUUUGAAACAGAACAAUUUUUGCUAGAGAAGAUCUAAUGAGUGCAAUGUUUAUGGCAGCUGGAGCUUGUGGGUACGGCGAGUAUGGCAGGACCGUCUACGAUGGCUAUGUGACUGGAGUUUCGAGGCUAUACAGAAAUGGAUCUGGAUGUGGUGCUUGCUAUCAGGUUUAACUUCAUAUAGACUACACAUAAAUAGAUGAUGACUCUUUUUGACUUUUUCAUCAGUCUAAUUUUACUUUUUUUUAAGUAUAGGUGAGGUGCACGAAACCGCAGUGCACGGGCGAAGGAGCGUACGUGGCGGUGACGGACUAUGGAGAGGGAGACAGGACGGACUUCAUCCUGAGCACCAGAGCCUAUGCGAAGAUGGCAAAACCGGACGACUACCAAACCGAGCAGCUGUUCGCCUACGGCGUGGUUGAGGUCGAAUUCAGAAGGGUUCCGUGUCGAUACCCCGGCCAAAACCUCCUUGUCAGCGUCAGUGAACACAGCAGAAACCCUUCUUACUUAGCUGUCAUCCUUUUAUACGUCGCCGGCAAAGAUGACGUCAUAGCUGCGGAGUAUUGGCAGGUAUUCAGUCAUCCAUUAUCCCAUGAGUUUGCUACAAUUUGGUUACAAGUAGAAUCAAAUUGAACCAUAAAUCGACAUAAACACGUUCUAGAGACCACUAGUCGACAAGACAAUAAUGACCUUGCUUUCUCGUAAUUUCGAUUCAGGAGGACUGCCAAGAGUGGAAGCCGAUGCGCCGAGUGUACGGAGCAGUGUUCGACACGCAAACUCCGCCAAUAGGCGAGUUGUACCUGAGGUUCCAAGUGGGUGGGUCUUGGGUGCAUCCAAAGUACGCCCUCCCUGCUGACUGGAAAGCUGGUGCUGUUUAUGAUUCCCAAGUGCAGCUGGACUAGAAAAGCCAAAAACCAGUCCCUUUCUUUAUGUUGAUUGGGAAAGUGCGUGCUUGCCUUUUUCAUCAUAGCUAGAUAGGAAUAGCUCAGAUAUGGCCAAUGCCAUGGGGCAUUAGUGUUGCUGAUAGAAACAGGCUUAGCUAAUAAGCUAGAAAAGGGCAGGCUUUCUGCCUGCCUUGGCUAAAUAAAGGUGGUCUCUGUACCAUUUUAUCAGUGGGAUGUGGGAUUGUAAUCUUAUCUUUCUGUUGGUAUGACUGGCUAUAAUAAAUGAGAUUGGUGUUCCCUUUGGUGGAUAAACUCGCACUUUUGCCUGCUAUAAAAGGUCCAUCCGGCACUCAGGCUGUCCAGAAGGAGUCCACUAUACUUUUCAGGUUAAUUAUAUGACAGCAUUCCUCACCAGAACAAUUGUCCUUAUCCAAUUACCAGCUAUAGGUACACUCAAAUUAGGAUGAAUUCAAGAAAAUUACGGCCCGCAAAGAAAGCUUACCAAUCCAAUAAGCAAACUAUACUACUUUCAAAUUAGGUAAAUAACUACACUUUAGCAAAAUUAUUUGCCUCAAAAGACAUGUUACCAAUUGUCAUUUUCAAGAACCUGCGGACAAAUCACUAUUGCAAUUGUUGAUAAUAAUUACGACAAUUUGCGAUUAAUUACUAGGUCAUAGCUUUUUUUAGGUUACCAAAAUUUAUGGCCAAAUAUGUUAAAGAUUUCUUGAAAUUAUAGAAAAUUCAGGUAUAUUAUGACCAGUCAAGGUAAAUUAAUUACCCAUGUAGCAAAACAUACUUUGAAGGUAAAUUACUUCAUAUAAAGGGAAUUACUAUUUUGAGCAAAAAGAAUUCCACAAGUAGGGCUACUAGUUGCUAUUUAGAAGAACUCACAGCAAAAUUAUUACGUUUGAGGAUAGUUCCAAUAAUAUGAAGUUAAACUAUUGUUUGGCAUUCUCAUAUCACGAAAUCUUUGGACAAAUUAUUGUCCAUAGCAAUAAAUUAUUGAUUACAAAUGCAACUAAUGUUAUGACGUACUAAUAAAGACAAUUUUAUAAUGCAAAAGUAUUACUUUUAACAGUUGAAAUGCAUCGAAAGAAUGAUUGAGUAAUUGAACUAUACCGAAUAAACUAAAAUUAAAAUCAACAUACUAAUUAUUAUGACACGUGGAUGCGUGUUUUGAUAAGUGGGGCGUAUUUAAUAACAAUAUCAAAUAAUUUAUCAUGGCACUUUUCAUUAUAAAAUACUCGAGUUGUUAGGUUAGGUCGGAUCGGGUUGGGUCGGAUCAAAGUCGUACUUUGCGCAAUUUUCCGCGUAGAAGCCCCGGUGCUUCGCUUCAUUCUCUUCGCUCCGACUCUCUCUCUCUCUCUGUGUUCGUAUUUUCCGUGGAGUCAUCAAUGGAGUUCGGUGCAGUUGCAGCAGAACCCUAGCCCUCCCGCGACGUCAACGGCGGCAUCUUUCAUGCGCUUCUCCUCGGAUCAUCGUCAUUCCAUCUCUCGGUCGCUCUCUCUCUCUCUCUCCAUCGAGUAAUUCCCCUCCUCUUUUUGCUUCGAUCGUCGAUGCUGAGGAACUCUCGAAUCUUUCCUCUUCUCAUUCCCUCUCUCUCUUCCGGAUUUGCAGAGCUCGUGGACUGGCGAUCCUCCUCUCGCGGACCUCGUCUUCUCUCGGCCGACUCAGCGCUCGAAGCUCAUUUCGAAGACAAGUACGUGGCGCGUUCCCCUUUGUCGUAUUCCCUGAUUGUGGAUGGAUUAUCUUCGUCGCACUAACUGGUAUGGUAUUCUCAAUCACGAGUGGAAAACGUAAUCCAGUCGAAGCGGUUGAAACGUGGUGUGGAUAUUUUCUGAUGUUCGCGAGGAAGUCGUAAUGGUAAAUUCCUUGCGUUUUGUCUAAGCACCAUCAAGACCGGUUACUUUUCCUUGCAUAUUGAGGUGGUAAAUGAGUGGAUUGGAUUAGAUAUGGGUCGAGUCGAAAAUGGGUCGACUCAUAUUUGAUUUAUUUAAUCCGUUUUGACCCAUAUUCUUAUAAUGUAAAUCUAAUGACCCAUACCUAACCCGAUCCAUAUCUGACCUUAUUCAUAUUGCUAAAAUCCACUAAUAUUCUAGAAAAACCUGCGCUCAUUUUAAUUGGAUAAAAACCUCAAAUUAAAUUAAAAAAAAUAAUAAACAAAAUAAAAAUUGUUAAAAAACCUAUAAAUUGAAAUAUUUAUGAAAAAUUAGACUAUGAACAUGCUUCUCUUAUUUAAAGUGAGCAUACUAUUGAGCAAUUGAAAACUACAACUUGAAAUUGAAACUAAGUAUUGACUAUCUAAACACUAUCUAAUGAAACAUCCGCGAAUGCAAGAAAGAAAAUGGUCUUUCACAAGUCGGAUUUACGCGAGCUUCAUCAAAUCUGGAAUUGAAAGUAAACGCUUCUCUUAAUAAGAAUCUCAUUUGCUUGUUCAAACAAAAUAAUUUUAUAGCUACAUUUGUAAUUCAAACAAAACUGUCCACUCUCUUGGAAAUCCUGGAAAGACAGACAAAAAAAAUGUAGUGAAACUUCUUCACGUACAGUUAUCACCCUUCCCUCCUUCCAAACUAAGUCGACUUCAUAUCAACCAAGUGCAGAACAUGACCAAAUCCCAAAUAUGAUGAUAUAGAUAUAAGCCAAGAACUCAUUCAGCUGGAACAAAGUUGUGAUUGUGCCCCAUUUAAGCCGCAAAACCCAACCCAAAUCAAACAACCUCUACUGCUAAAAACCCCUCAGUUCGGACGCGGAAGCUGAGGAAACGUCAUUUCUCCUAUGCAAAUUCUUCAUCAUCUUUCACCACCAGAAAAAAACAAAGAUAAGAAAAAGAAUCACACGCAUUGAUAGCAGCAGCAGAAAUUGAGGAAACUAAACGAAGCACGCUCCACGCAACAGAUAUAAAAAGGACAAGGUGACGGGCCAAGAGAAAGACGGGGAACUCACGGAAGGGUUGGAGGGAUCGAAGAGCCUGAAAUGGCUCAAGUUGUGCUAUUGAGGCAAAAAUCGACACCCGCAAGCUAGACUUUCACGGCGUGAGGCUGAAGCUCGUCGACCUUCAAGGGAGCGGCGGAGGUGACUCGGAGGUGAGCCGCUGCAGCGAGCAGCAGAGGCGACUCGGAGGUGAGUGGUGGAGGUGAGCCUCGUCGGAGGGUGGCGGAGGCGACUCGGAGGGGAGCAAUAGCGGUGAGUGGCGGAGGCGACUCGGGGGCGAGCCGCGGAGGCAAGCGGCGGAGGUGGGUUAUGAAUUCGAGGGAGCGGCGGAGGCGAGCCUUAGAGGCGGGCGGCGAAGGCGACUCAAAGGCAAGCCACGGCGGAGAGUGGCGGAGGUGGCUCGGAGGCGAGCGGCAGAUGUGGGUGACGAGGGGCAGCUGUCGCUGAGGAAAUUCUAUGUUUUUAAGGUUUUGAAAAUGGGUCGAAAAUGGGUCAGAACGUGUGACCCAUUUUUGACCCAUAUAGAAUUGAACUUAAAACACUUUGACCCAUUUUAGCUGGCCAUUACAUCUUCCUAACCCAUAUACGACCCAUUAAUGAAAAAUAUGAGUUCAGAAAUGGGUCAUUUUGCCACCUCUACCUGCAUAGAGGCUUAACGGAGCUUUAAUUGCAGUUCUUUCAUGUCACUGCCAUCACUGCAACAAUAACUAGUUCAAAGCUCUUCAGUUUUUUCGCUUGGAGGCGAUCUACUAAAUGUGUUCUUGUAUCUUAUCUAAGGGCUUAAUGUCAUAGUUAUGGGAACUUUCCUCUGGAACAUGCAAAGCAUAGUGUAGUCUGUCGCUCUUAGGAAACAGGUUGUUAAUACUAUGACGUAAUAAGCUUCAAAUUUUUACAGUACAUUUGGAUAUGCUAUUUAUGAGUUGAUCAACUUUUAGCUGCAUUUAUAAGGCUUUUGCUGGUGAGGAGGUUUUCUUGCUGACAACUAAACUUUUUUGCAAACAGCAUGAGGAAACAUGACAGCGCUACCAAACAAGAGGCCAGGGAUUAGCAGAUGAUGGGGUUGCUAAGGUGAAUUUUCUCCUUGUUAUCGCUUUCUUAUAUUAUUUCAAAAGCUAUACUUGGAAUUGAACAUUGGACUAGCCAUACCACGAAGAACUAACAAAUAAUCGAAACUUGAUCCUGCUAAUUUAUCAGAAGAUGUUAAUGACCCUUUGUAAUGGAGCAAUGUGGGAAUAUAUUGAGUUAUGUUUAUUGUAAAUAAUAAAAAAAAAAGGAAAUUUCCCAUGACAUCGAAUUAGAAGUUUAAAAGGCUUGUUUGCGGAGUCCUCACAUUGAAAUGCUGAAAUAGCCAUUUUAAUCUUCUCUCGGCUAUUUUACUGACGGAUGUUAGUAUUCUUAUGUCACCGUGUUUUCAUUUUAUUGUAAAAGCGGAGCAAUCGAUUCUUUUUUCUGUAAUUUCUAAAUCAUGGUGCACUGCAAGAAAUCACUACUAAAAUGAACUUUCAUUCUUUUUUAGGCUGGUCUUGUAACUACUCUUAGCAUAAAAACAAUCAUAUUUGGUGAAACAAAUCCGAAGCCUUACUUUUUUUUCCUUUUUUUUUUGGUUAGAUGAAACCUUACUUGAAUUGUGUUUCCCUAUAUUCCGUUUCUCUGCAUCACGGUCUUAGACUGCAAGUUGCGGUCACAAGAUGAAAAAUGCAAAAUUCUGUUUCACAUAAGAUUGCACAAGCUAAUCACACAAUUGGCAAANNNNNNNNNNNNNNNNNNNNNNNNNNNNNNNNNNNNNNNNNNNNNNNNNNNNNNNNNNNNNNNNNNNNNNNNNNNNNNNNNNNNNNNNNNNNNNNNNNNNGGGCGGUGAGAAGACGAUGAAUAGUGACUCGGAAUCGCAUCUCCAGAAUAGGAAUGCUCAAAGCAGCCCCACCCCUGGGCUUUCAGCAUUGGGGAUGCUGGCAUUGGGCAAAUGGGCAUUCAAAAACACAUGCCAAACACAAAAAUAAUCUCAAAAUUAUGGCUAACAAUAAGAAGGUUUGUUUCAAUACAACUCCAUAACCUGGUCAACAAUCUUGUUCAGGAAGUUUAAGUAGCCCAGUGUAAUUUCUGGGUCACUGAGAAAUAUUUGAGCUAACUCAGGACAGUGGCGGAGGGCAAUAUCUGUGUUCUGAUGGGUUUCUUUAGCAUUCUUCUCUUACCAUUCCAAAAUGGGUAGCAUGGCGCAUUUAAUUUUCUCAUUAAAUGGUUCAUGGUUAGUUCAAAGUAGAAGAACAUUAGCAACAUCCUUUCUGGAAUAAUUGGUUGAAGCAUGAUAUUUGCCUAUUUGUGCUGUAGAAAGGCUAACAUUGAUGACAAAGCUUGAAAUCGGACGCAUUUUUAUAUGAGCUUCGUAGGCAUCUAUUUCAUACUGAGGCAAGUAUCCCAGUCUUUCAAGUUGCUCUAGGGGAACUGCCUGAGUUCUGGCUUCUGGGUCUAUUUUGAUUAUUGGUAAACCAUGACUCAUAUUGUCAUAGAUAUAACUUACAUCCAAGGUCCUGGAGAGGCUUCUGAAAUUCAAAAUGCCCUGUUCCACUUCUUAACUUAGACAUUCUGGUUACCAUACUCCAGGAUUGAGGCACCAGAAGUUACUGGGGCAAAUAGCCAGUCUUUCAAGUUGCUCUAGGUGAGCUGACUGAGUUCUGGCAUCUGGGUCUAUCUAGAUCAUCAGUAAAUCAUGAUUUGUAUUGGCAUAGAUAUAAUUUACGUCUGAGGUCCUGGAGAGGCUUCUGAAAUUCGANNNNNNNNNNNNNNNNNNNNNNNNNNNNNNNNNNNNNNNNNNNNNNNNNNNNNNNNNNNNNNNNNNNNNNNNNNNNNNNNNNNNNNNNNNNNNNNNNNNNNNNNNNNNNNNNNNNNNNNNNNNNNNNNNNNNNNNNNNNNNNNNNNNNNNNNNNNNNNNNNNNNNNNNNNNNNNNNNNNNNNNNNNNNNNNNNNNNNNNNNNNNNNNNNNNNNNNNNNNNNNNNNNNNNNNNNNNNNNNNNNNNNNNNNNNNNNNNNNNNNNNNNNNNNNNNNNNNNNNNNNNNNNNNNNNNNNNNNNNNNNNNNNNNNNNNNNNNNNNNNNNNNNNNNNNNNNNNNNNNNNNNNNNNNNNNNNNNNNNNNNNNNNNNNNNNNNNNNNNNNNNNNNNNNNNNNNNNNNNNNNNNNNNNNNNNNNNNNNNNNNNNNNNNNNNNNNNNNNNNNNNNNNNNNNNNNNNNNNNNNNNNNNNNNNNNNNNNNNNNNNNNNNNNNNNNNNNNNNNNNNNNNNNNNNNNNNNNNNNNNNNNNNNNNNNNNNNNNNNNNNNNNNNNNNNNNNNNNNNNNNNNNNNNNNNNNNNNNAAUUCAUCCAUUAGCCAUUGUGGGCAGCAUUUGAAAUGCUCUUCACGCCAUUUUUGGUGAAAAUCCUGAUCAUGAAAUCCUUGUCUGUUCCUAGUCCUAUUAUCAUUCAUCCAUGCACAAACUCAAUCGUUGUACUUAUUUUUAUGCAUAUGUCAGCUCGCUUUACCUAGAAGCGUGUGUCCAUGUUUUGUGUUGGCUUUCAUAGAUUUGUGACUUAGCAGAACUUUUGUUACCCACAAAAAGAACUAACCAGCGGUGAGAUCGAGAAACUUAAUAGCUUUUCUAGAUUCGAUGAGUUUUGCCUCUAAGUUGGGUAAUUCUGUAAAAUAUAGUUGUGAAUGAGCUUUCAAGACAAUGAUAAUCAUUUGCCAGUUGUAUUUGUUGAUUCAAGAUUAGAGUCACUUAUGCUACCCACUUUUAGUUCAAGAUGAUUUGAAGACAAUUUUCGGUGGAAGGACCCCCGUAGAACUAUGUUAUUUUUUUGCUUAUAUAUUUCAUUUAUUUUGUCAAAUGUUGGUUCUAUUCUGGAACUUUUCAUCUUAACAUGGAUGUAAUAUUUAAUCGGCAUCAGUUUUAUUAGAAGCUCCAGUUAUUUUCAUGCAAAAUAUUGGAGCACUAGUAGACAUAACAAUGGACUACCACAGCAACGGUAUUGAGUAACAAGCUGCCCUAGACAUUGAGAAUGGUAAGACCUCUUUGACAGAACGGCUAGUCCGUGGCCAAUCUCUCAUUAGUUUACCGCCAUGGGUCACCCAACAGAGCCAGUCCAUGUUUUCCUUGGAAGGGGGAGCAUGAAAAGAGGGAUCACCUGAGUGUCUUUCAGUAGUAUUCAGAAAGCUUUCGCGAGAUGCACAGGAUGGUAGGCACGUGAAAAUAGGACCCUCCACUGAUCUCUAUCCUCUUCCUUUUUUCUUUCCUAUUGUGUACUCCGGGGACCGAACUUGCGGAGAUGUCAAAUUGAUAAGAUUAUGGACGCUUAACUGCUUAUUAAGGUUUGGGUUAGUAUAACUGCUGCAUGUCUAGUAACUAUGCUGUCGUGUAAGAAGAGGGUUGCUAAAGCUGGUAAAGGGGCUGCUUCAUUAUUUUGACAAUGAAAAGCUAUGGCUGGGUAGAGAACUAUUUUAAUGAGAAUCGUCGAGCCCAUUUCUUGGUCUUUAACCUGCUUGUGGGCACCGUAACAAUUCCUCUCUUGCUUCUGGGAAGAAAAGACUAUGAAAAUGAUGAAAUAGAUUAGUUAAACAUAUCCCAAAACUGAAUAACGUAACGGAAUCUUUACAGCCCAAUAUUGGGCUUGAUGGCCCAACCACGAGCUUGUUGGGCCACGAAAGGAGAUGAACGUUUGGCCUAACUAGGGUGGAAAUGUAAUGGGCCUAAUUCUGGGCCCUUAAAGCAUAAUGCAUUGGUCUCAAACUGGGUCCAAUACUUGGUUUAAGAGCCCUUCUAGUGGGCCCACUAAUGGGCCUCGUCUGCCCAUUGAAGGCCCAAUACUGAUCUCAUGUGUCAAAGCCCAUUCGGCCCCGGCCCGACAAUAGGUAGACUAUAGAUAACGCUGGCCCAUUGAGGGCCCAAUGGCCCAUUCAGUCUCGGCUCAGUACUCAUACAAAGUGCACACCAGCCCAAAAAGAGGCCUUGGGUAUGCCCACUAGGCCUGUUAAUAUAGGCCAAACACAUUGGCCCAAUGGGCCUAGAAUAAUUAACUGCUUGAAGCCGAUUGGAGCUUUGGCUCAAUAAGCGUACAAUGGGCCUACACGAAUCCCAUUGGGCUCGACCUGUUGAGUUAAUUGGGCCUAACUAUGGGUCUAAGUCCCAAUGCGUGAUGGGCCUCACCUAGGCCCAUUAAACUCGGCCCAAUAAAAUUAUUAUAGCCUAGUGGGCCCAGCCCGUAAAAGUAAUUGGCCUCAUUAUGCCCUUUACGCCCAAUGUCUAAUGAGCCUGCACUCAAAAUAAUGGCCAUUUCUUUGGGCCACAAGGGCCAGUAUGUUGGACCUAAUUUGGGCUCAACUACUGACCUCUUGGAGCUCAAUAGGCCUAAUAUUCACUUAAUCUUUAAAGACCCUAACCAGCUUAGACCUAAUAUGGGCUUGAUAGAAUCUCAAUUCACACCCAAUAUUUUAGCCAGUGGUAUGGGACCCAAGUGUGGGCCCCGGCUAUUGGGCCUAUAGAUUGAGCCUCGCCAUGGGCCCUUUUUUGAGCACGGCCGUCGGCUAGGGCCCCUUAAGCCUCACCCAAGCCAACUUCCAGAAUAUCAAGAAAUCCAAUGAAAAAGUAAAUAAUGGGCUAGAAAAAUCUCGAGUCAAUAAGCUCAAAUUACGAGUAUGAUCCAGAAAAGAGUUGAAUAUUAAGGGUUCGUUCGUUUCGCAAAAAAUAAACCAUUUUUGGAAAAUAUUUUCUCGAAAGUCAUUUUCAAUAUUUUUCAUGAAAAUGACAAUAUUUUCUGAUGUUCAGUUAAAACCUGAAAAUAUUUCAGAAAAUAUUUUCUGGUGUUCGGUAAGGAAAAUAUUUUCUAAAAUUUCACUAUAUACAUUACUUACCGACCUAUAAAUCCAUCAAAUAUGAACUUGCUUUUAAAUCCAGGUAAACUUAUUUCAUAUCUUUGUUCCCUCAUUAUCGCCAAACGCUCAUCUAAUCUAAAUAAUCUAAAAAAUAUUCGUAUGGAUUUUAAAAAUAAGCAAAAGAGAAAAGAAGCAAAGCAUGUACAGCCCUUAUAAGAAUCUUCUAGUUAAAUGGCCUGUUCUCCCCUACAUAUAUUUUUUUUUAUGACACGGGAACCUCCGUACAGCCGGCAGCCGGCGAGGUAAACCUGGGGUGAUGCUAGCGGAGGACCCACCACCCCGACGUCACGCUUAAGAUCUUGUGCGGCCAGUGGGAUUCGAACUCCUCUCCUCCUCGCAAAGGAUCAUGGGAGCCUUAUCCAACUGAGCUACCGCAGGCGGUGGUCUCCCCUGCAUCUUUUCUAUUCUAAUAAUCAAAAGAAAAGGAAACAAAGCAUAUAGAGCAUUUUGCUUGAAUAAUGUACAACUGCAUGGUAGAAUAAAUAAAGAAAAUGAUAAGUAAGAGUGCACAGCGCGAGCUUGAGAUCAACAAGCUUGGGGUUCACUUGGCAACGGUCGAUGACUAGCCAAGAAAGAAGAUGGGAAACAAAGAAAAGAAAAAAAAAAGGAAAUUAAAGAUAAUUCGAAUUAAAAAAGAAAAAAAAUUAAAAAAUAAUUCGAACAAAAAAAGAAAAGAAGAAAAAGAAAGGGGAGGAGGAAAUGAGAAUUUGUAGAUUUGUGAGAUAAGGGAGAUCAAGUGAGGAAAAUAUUUUUCACUUUUCAAAAGUGGAAAACAUUUUCCUUUAAUUUAGAAGAUUAUUUUCCUUUCAUGACAAACAUUUUUCUCAAGGAAUUCAUUUUCCAUGAAACAAACGCCGGAAAAUCCGGAAAAUAUUUUCUCAAAAAUUAUUUUCCGCCAAACAAACGGAGCCUAAGAAAUACAAUAAAAAGUUGCUUCAGCCACAUAUGCAGCAAUUCCAUAAUGCCCCAUGCUUGAAGCCGAAUGAGUGCUGACUUCCGAGACAUGCUGGGGCCCUUGGAUUAUCAACAGCUCCUGGAGCUGCUCCAAGUCCAACGAAUUCAAUCAGUCUCCUCCCUGUAAAAGGACAAAUUAUUAGAGAGAGUUUUCAAUCUGGAGAGAGAAAACUGAAGGCAUCACCAUCAAUUCAUCCAGCAAUUAUCCUACUUUUAAUUUGAACAGUCAAGACUACUAAAAGAGCUUGUAUUUCAAAUAUUUUAUAAGCUUUAGGCAAUUUCGACAAAGCAUGUUCCUCAAAGUCAGCCAUGUAUAUUCAAACUGAUGAACAAACAGAUUAUCGGCAGUGUUGUUGAACAGGACUGACAGUUGUGAAAAGCAGAGACUGUAAGUUGCAACUGGUUAUGGAGUGGAUAUCGCACAAACAGAGAUCGCAUGAUUCACCGAACACCGAUAGCUGUCACCAUCCAGUCAGUCCUGACCAGAACAGAACAAGCCCCAUGAUCUGGUCAGCUUCUGGGCAAAAAUAUAACAAGGUUUAAUAUGUGCUGGUGUAUAUAAAUAAUUUCCAAGAUCUUGACGGUCUUAUCUUCCAAAAUUUGAUGCCCAAUGCAUAGCUGUUCUUCUGCAGGCAUCACAAAAGUUGGGGAUUAACACCUGCAGUUAUUAUAGAGCCCCUCGCCCACUCACAACUGAAGCCUGCAGCCAAAUGAAUAACUCCUUGACCUUGGGUAUCCAAUUAUUUGGCCCUCUGCCUGCUUCAUGAAGUUUGCAAACCAGCCACCAUGAGACCUCGUCCUCUAGCAAGUAUUGAAGUGCUGCACCUCAUGUUAGAUGUAUGCCCUAAGGCUGCUAUGUAAUAGUUACAUAUUAGGGAUUCCAUUUGUAUGUAUAAGGAUUAUGUUAUUAUUUUUUUUAAGGAAAUUGAUUAAUUAUUAAUUAAUUGAUUGAUUAAUUAAAGUGGAAAUGGUCAGCAAUUUUUUGUUGACCACUUCACACGAAUACGUGCACAUGCACGCACGAAUUCGUGCAUGGUGGUCAGCGGUUGCUGACCAUCAUACACGAAUUUUGUUCGUGCAUGGACCGCUGACCAUCGUGCACGAAAUCGUGCUCGAUCGUGCAUGAGAAUGAGGACCAGCAACGGUAGCCGAUCCCACGAUCGGCAACCGUUGCUGAUUCGUGUAUAAAUAUUAAAAAAGAAAGGCUGCAAAAGGUUGCAACAAAGAGAAAUUUUCUGUAGCAUGCGUCUUGUGUUUUAGAGACAUACAAGUGAUGCUUUGCUAAAAAUAGAGAGCAAAGUGUGUGCGUGUUCUUGUGUCUUUGCGGCGCAAGAAAGAAGAGCGUUAUCUCGUUUGGGCCGUGACUACUAUACAUCAAGAAUACGACGGAUUAUUUCCACGUGAUUGCUAACACGAUCGAAGUGGUAAACAUCCGAAAUUUCUCUCUUUAGUUCGACGUUCGUUGUUGGUGUGUCUGAACUAGAGGUCCGACACUUGUGGGACUCGAACUAUGGAACAUUCGAACCGACUUGUUUCAAAGCGCGCUUCGAGAGGUAUUUCGUUUAACUCCCUUUUAUGUUUAGAUUUUUUAUUAAAACGCACGAACAACGCCUUAGGAGAAUCAUGUAUAAAAUAUAUAUUUGUUUCCGCUGCAUACUUUAUGUUAAUUAUUCUUAUACAUGAUUCAUGGAAACCCAACAAUGGUAUCAGAGCCAACCUUAGGCGUUUUUCAUGCGUUUAAUUGAUUUGUAGUUCAAAUAUAUUUUUGCGUUCUAAUGGCUAAUUUAUUUUGUUAAGAGAAUUGGUUCUCUUACCUUUUAUGUAGCCUAUAGAAGUUGAUUAAUUUAUGUGAUAAAUUUAAUCAACUAAGCAAAAAUUAGAACUAAAUUAAUUUUGAAUAAAAAAUCCAUAACUUGUUAUAUUUUGUGUUUAUAUUCUACAAAUGAUAUGCAGAAUUUUAUGCAUGCCUUCCAGAGCUUUAAAUUUUGAAUUUAUGGCUCGAAGGAAGGGUGGUGAUCAUGGAAAAAUCCCUAAAUGUUGUGAUUGUUGUAUGGAUGAAUGUAUGAUGAUUACAGGUAUUCUUUUUGGGGAUGUAAUUAUUAAAUGGAGGCUGCGUCCUUCCUUUUAUUUUACUUUAAUUUUUAUUGAUAUGUAAUUUUAGUAUAGUUUAGUAUUUCAAUUGUUGUUGUAAAUACUACAAGAGAGGAGGAGCCAUUGGAGGAGCCAUUAAACUGGUGAGCUCUUUGGGCCCGGUCUUUGAAGUGUUCAAAGAUUGAGGAAAAAAUGAAGAGCGGGUCAAUAUUAUUAAAACAUUAAAAUGGCUAAAUGGGUCUCUUUGGCUCGAGACCCAUUGAACCAUAAUUCCAUGAUCACCACAUAGGAUAGAUGUUAUGUGAUAUCUAUUUAUUUAUUGUGUUUAUAGUAUCGUGCAUGUUAAACCGGUUAAUGUGCAAAGUGAGACCAUUAAUAACGACCCAAAUCUCCUUACAAAGAAUAUUAAGUCGAAACGGGUUUCGGACUCGUGGCCUUCCAUUGUCGUGGUUUGAUCCAAUAUUAUAGUGGUUAACUAACCGGUUAUGGAUACAUAGGGGUUAAUUAUCAUUUAUAAUAUUGGACCACUCUAUUAUGCAUAUGAUGUUGUGGGGUUGGAGCCAAAUGAUUUCCAAUAACUGUUAGGUGAGGGAAUCAUUUGUGUUUUCAAUACUUGCAUGAGACGAUGGGCUAGAUUUAACUAUGAUCAUGAUGCCAAUAACUGUUAGGUGAGGCUUUCAUGGUCUAGAGGCCGAAGUUAUGAUUGGGACUCGCAUAUGAUGCGUUGAACAAGCUGGUUCACUCACUAAGUUCAUAGGACACCAAUAACUGUUAGGUGAGGUGGACUUUGGGUUAGUGGGACUCCAAUCCCCACUAGUAAUCUUUACCCAACGAAGUUUAUCGCUUCUCAUCUUAAGGAGUAUGGGAUUCGAAUAUAAAUUUAGUGGGAGGAUCUAUUUCAUUUAAAAACCAAAAUGAAAUAGUUAUUAUGAAAAGUACAACGGCUAACAAUUUAUUUUCUGCAACAGAUAUAUUAUUACUCUGAAAAUGGUGACCACAAACCCACUCGCUUCUAUACUUGACAAGAAUUGUUUGACUUGACCCAAUUUCACUGACUGGGUGAGGAAUUUGAGAAUUGUUCUCAAUUCAGAAAAAAUUGGGUAUGUGCUUGAUGAAAAGAUGCCAACCUCAUUUCUUGAGGGUGGGACCCAAGAGGAGCGUGUCACUUAUGAUAAGUGGCGUGAUGGUGACUUAAAAGUUAGGUCAUAUAUGCUUGCUUCGAUGAAUAAUGAAUUACAAAAGAAGUAUGAAUCUAUGGAAGAUGCUAGGUCGAUCAUUUUGCAUUUAAAGGAAUACUUUGAUGAGAAUGGUCGAACCUCUAGAUAUGAGAUAUCUAAGGCAUUGUACCGUAUGAGGAUGGCUGAAGGAUCAUCUGUUAAUGAUCAUGCUUUGAAAAUGAUCUGGCACAUUGAAGAAUUGGCUAGGCUCAAUCUCGUUAUGGACAAUGAGUUAGCUGUGGAUUUGAUCCUCCAAUCUUUAUCCGAUUCCUUCUUUGGUUUUGUCCAAAACUUCCACAUGCAUAAGAUGGAGAAAACUCUUGCUGAGUUACAUAGCAUGUUAGUAGUUUAUGAGAAGGAAAUGCAUAACACGAGGCCAAAUGUAGUGGCUAUGGCUAAGGCUUUUUCUUCAAAGGGUAAGACCGUUUUAAAGAAGAAUAAAUGGAAGAGGCCUGCCAAACCUGUUGUGCAACCAAAACCCAUGAUUGAUAAAGGGAAAUGUCAUUACUGUGAUGUCAAAGGGCACUGGAGGAGGAACUGUAGGAGGUACCUCGCGAGCUUGAAGGUCAAGCCCAUGAACCGACCUUAUGAAGGUAUGGUGUCUAUGCUUAUUGAAACUAAUCUUAUGGUUAGUGCUGAAUCCAGCUCAUGGGUUAUAGAUUCUGCUGCAACUUCACAUAUUUGUAUGUCUUUGCAGAAUCUAUAAAUAAGCAGGAUACUAGGGCGAAAUGAGAUUGUCCUGACGUUUGCCAAUGGAGCAAGAGUUGCUGCAUUAGCUAUAGGGACUUUUUGUUUAUGUUUCCCUUCUGGACAUGUAAUGGUUUUAAAGAACUGUUUGCAUUAUAAGAAUGUUGUUAGGAACAACAUCUCUGUACCUCGUUUGGGUAAAGAGAAUUAUGAAUUUUCUUUUGCUGAUGAUGUAUGUUCUAUUUAUCAUAAUAGAAUAUGUGUUGGUUCUAGCUUAUUAACCAACAAUCUUUAUACCAUUACAAUUUCCGGUAAUGCGAUUACCAAUGUCAAUAAGCAAAAUAGAAUUGAUAUAAAUGCCAUAACUAAUAAACGCCCUAGAAACGGUCCAAAUAAAAAGUAUGUUUGGCAUCUCCAAUUAUGUUAUAUUGGAGAAGACAGAAUUAACAGGUUGAGUAAUGAUGGAUACAUUGAUCCUUCAAAUUUUGAGUCAUACUCGACUUGUGAGGCAUGUCUUCUAGGAAAAAUGACCAAAGCGCCUUUUGUGGGACAAAGUGCGCGAGCUACUAACAUAUUAGAAUUAAUACAUACAGAUGUAUGUGGACCAAUUAAUAAAACUGCUAGAGGUGGUUAUAAUUACUUAAUUACCUUCAUUGACGAUCAGUCACGGUAUGGUUAUUUAUACCUCAUGAAGUAUAAAUCUGAAUCCUUUGAAAAGUUCAAGGAAUUCAAGGCUGAAGUUGAGAAACAGAUAGGAAGAUGUAUUAAGGCUCUUUGAUCGGAUCGAGGAGGUGAAUACCUUAGUAUUGAAUUCCUGGACUAUCUUAAAGAGAAUGGCAUUUUAUCACAAUGGACACCUCCUGGAACUCCAGAACAUAAUGGUGUAUCUGAACGAAUAAAUCGUACUUUAUUAGAUAUGGUACAAUCUAUGAUGAGUUACACUGAUUUGCCAACAUCCCUUUGGGGAUAUGCCCUUGAGACAGCUGUAUAUAUAUACUGAAUAGAGUGCCGUUCAAAUCUAUUCCAACUACGCCCUAUGAGAUAUGGCAUAGUAGGAAACCUAGUCUUAAUCAUAUUAAGAUUUGGGGUUGUUCAGCUUUCGUGAAAAAGCUGAAAAUGGAAAAAUUGGAGGCAAGAUCUGAACAAGGUCGCUUCAUUGGAUAUCCAAAGGAAACUCUUGGAUAUUAUUUCUAUUUUCAUUCAAACCAAAGAAUUUUGGUAUGCAAGCACGCUUCGUUGUUGGAGAAUCAGUUCGUCCAAGAAAGUGGUGCUGGGCGGAAAAUAGUCUUACAAGAAGAAAAUAAUGAAGUGCCAAACAAUCGAGUUCAGAUACCAAUCUCUGAUUCAGUGGGAGCUUCUGAUACACAACCUCUUAGGAGAAGUGCGAGAACGUCUCGCCCACCUACUCGUUAUAGACACUCGGUUGAUCAUAUCGAACCAUUAUUCAUUAUGAAUGAUAGUGAUCAACCCGGUGAUCCUAAAACCUAUGAGGAGGCGAUGUUGGACAUCGAUUCUGGUAAAUGGCUAGAGGCCAUGAAAUCCGAAAUGAAUUCAAUGUAUUCAAAUGAGGUUUGGACCUUGACUAACCUGCCUAAUGGUAUUGUACCAAUUGGCUGUAAAUGGAUCUUCAAGAGGAAGAUGAAUGUUGAAGGUCAAAUUGGAAUUUACAAAGCACGGCUGGUGGUGAAAGGAUAUAGUCAAAAAGAAGGAAUUGAUUAUGACGAAAUUUUCUCACCUGUGGCCAUGCUAAAAUCCAUUCGGAUUAUGUUGGCUAUAGCUGCCACCUUGAUUAUGAGAUAUUUCAGAUGGAUGUCAAAACGGCUUUUCUAAAUGGUUUUCUCGAUGAGGACAUCUAUAUGGAACAGCCACAGGGUUUUGAAUCCAAUAGUGAAAAACAGAAGGUGUGUAAGUUUAAGAGAUCCAUUUAUGGACUCAAACAAGCCUCCAGAAGUUGGAACAUCCGUUUUGAUGAGGUAGUCAAAUCGUUUGGCUUCAUCAAAAAUCCGGAUGAACCUUGUGUAUACAAGAAGAUCAGUGGGAGUGCAAUUGCAUUUCUGGUUUUGUAUGUCAAUGAUAUACUUUUGAUUGGAAAUGAUGUACCAAUGAUAUCAUCGAUAAAACUAUUCUUGUCACAGAAAUUCUCCAUGAAAGAUUUAGGAGAGGCAACCUACAUUUUAGGUAUCAAGAUCUAUAGAGAUAGAUCAAGACGAUUGAUUGGCCUCUCAUAAUCUACGUACAUAGACACAGUGUUAACACGGUUUAACAUGCAAUGUUCCAAGAGAGGAUUAUUGCCUUUUAGGCAAGGGAUCCGUCUUUCUAAGGAGAUGUGUCCCAACACUCCUGAAGAAAAAGAGCAGAUGGCAAAGAUACCAUAUGCAUCCGCUAUUGGAAGCAUAAUGUAUGCUAUGCUAUGUACUAGACCUGAUAUUGCACAUGCUGUAAGUAUUACUAAUAGAUAUCAGUCUGAUCCAGGAGAAGAGCACUAGAUAGCAAUCAAGAAUAUUCUUAAGUACUUGCGAAUGACUAAAGAUUUAUUCUUGAUAUAUGGAGAAGGAGAAUUUAAAGUUGUAGCUUAUACUGAUUUCGAUUUUCAAUCGGAUCCUAAUGAUUAUAAGUCUACGUCCGGGUUUGUCUUUACAUUCAAUGGUGGUGCAGUUAGUUGGAAAAGUUCCAAACAAAGUAUAACUACCGAUUCCACCACUGAGGUAGAGUAUGUAGCUGCUUCUGAAGCAGCAAAGGAAGCCGCUUAGAUGAAGAAAUUUAUUUCUGAACUUGGAGUCGUUCCUUCAAUUGAGCAACCAAUCACAUUGUUUUGUGACAACAAUGGGGCGAUAGCUCAAGCUAAGGAACCAAGGUCUCACCAGAAGUCCAAGCACAUUGAGAGACGCUUCCAUCUCAUCAGAGAAAUUGUUGGGAGAGGUGAUAUCGCCUUGCAGAAAAUUGCCUCAGCGGAAAAUGUGGCAGAUCCCUUCACUAAGGCCUUACCUCAGUCUUCUUUUGAAAGACAUAUUGACAAAAUGGGUUUGAGGUACCAGACAAGUUGGCUUUAGUGCAACUAGGAGAUUGUUGGAUGUAUGCCCUAAAGCUACUAUGUAAUGGUUACAUAUUAGGGAUUUCAGUUGUACUUUCAUUAUUAUUAUUUAAUUAAUGGCAAUGACGUAUUCAUUCAUUUGUCCAAUUAUUUUAUAUUAAUGAAUGAUUCCAUAAGAUCAGUUGCAACUAGACCUAUUCUUGAGACGUCAAGAAUAUAUGUGAUUGGUUCAUAGUUAGACUGAAUAUUUAAAUUGUUCCUGGUCGAUGGAUUAUUGAGUGGAUAUUAAUAAUCCUGUUGAGGCCGGUGUGUUCUUAACUUCGUCAUUAAGUAUUUGAUACUUAAGGGAAUGAUGAGUCACAUGUCAUUGGGUAUUAUGAUGCCUAAGUUAGAACACAGGUGUUUGUAUUAGACAAAUUCACUGAACGUGACGCAUAUGGAACGAUUAGCGACAUGGAAGCUUUUAGCGUGGUCAAUGUCUAAUUGUUCAUGCUUUGGUCUUGUGUAAAUAAUCCUUAGACCUGAGGCACAGUGUUAACUUGUGUAUUGAACAACUAUGGUUCACUGGUGCACAUAAUGCCGGGUCGUUGAUCCGUCUUUAUACCUGAUGGUCAUAGUUUGUUCAUAUAUGAAGUUACACGUGUGCGCAAUAUGGAAUCUGUCUCCUUGUUAUAUGCAAGGUAUGAUAAUGAUGUCCUAUGCGAUCUAAUUGUGACACUGCAUUGAAAUCAUCGGCCGGGGUUGUAACCGAGAAUAAAUUGUUUAUGUCUCGAAUAAAAUGCAUGUCAAUUAGAUUUGUGCAUAUGAUUGAAUUAAUGACUUGACAAAUAUUCCAUGGUCUUUGUUUGAUUGGGACAUAGUAAGACAGAGAGAUUGAAUUACACUGUAGCCAAAGCUAACAUGUUCAUUAUGUUCUUAAAGUAUUCACACUAUCUGGGUAGCCAUGACAUAUUGCUAGAUGUCAAUCGUGACUUGUAGGACCUAAAAGAUUAAUCGGGACAAUUAUUUAUUUUGGAAGUACUAAUGUGUUAGUACAAGUCUUACUACCAGCUUAGUGAUGAACUUAGGGAUGUCACACACCAUAAACAAUUAGGAUGACGUGGAACAAGAGAGAAAUAUUAUUGCAAAUGUGUUUGCAAUUACUACAAUCGAAUUGAGUCGAUUUGAAAUUAAAUUAAAUAAGAUUUAAUUUAAUUUGUAUUAUAGUCACGAGCCUACUUGCAUAUGAUGCACACGCAUGCCCAAAGUGGAUAUAUGUUAACAUACCCCAAUUGUGUAUUUUCAUUAUUAUUAUUUAAUUAAUGGCAAUGAAUUGACCAAAUGGGUUUGAGGUACAAAACAAGUUGGCUUUAGUGCAAGUGGGAGAUUGUUAGAUGUAUGCCCUAAAGCUGCUAUGUAAUAGUUACAUAUUAGGGAUUCCAUUUGUACGUAUAAGGAUUAUGUUAUUAUUAUUUUUAAAGGAAAUUGAUUAAUUAUUAAUUAAUUAAUUAAAGUGGAAAUGGUCAGCAAUUUUUUGCUGACCACUUCACACGAAUACGUGCACAUGCACGCACGAAUUCGUGCAUGAUGGUCAGCAACCGCUGACCAUCGUGCACGAAAUCGUGCAUAAACGGUCAGCGGUUGCUGACUGUUCCAUUCAUGCAUGAUCACGCUCGAUCGUGCAUGAGAAUGAGGAUCAGCAACGGUUGUUGAUCCCACGAUCGGCAACCGUUGCUGAUUCGUGUAUAAAUAUUAAAAAAGAAAGGCCGCAAAAGGUUGCAACAAAGAGAAAUUUUGUGUAGUGUGCGUCUUGUGUUUUAGAGACAUACGAGUGAUGCUUUGCUGAAAAUAGAGAGCAAAGUGUGUGCGUGUUCUUGUGUCUUUGCGGCGCAAGAAAGAAGAGCGUUAACUCAUUCGGGCCGUGACUACUAUACAUCAAGAAUACGACGGAUUAUUUCCACGUGAUUGCUAGCACGAUCGAAGUGGUGAACAUCCGAAAUUUCUCUCUUCAGUUCGAUGUUCGUUGUUGGUGUGUCUGAACUAGAGGUCCGACACUUGUGGGACUCGAACUGUGGAACAUCCGAACCGACUUGUUUCAAAGCGCGCUUCGAGAGGUAUUUCGUUUAACUCUCUUUUAUGUUUAGAUUUUUUAUUAAAACACACGAACAACGCCUUAGGAGAAUCAUGUAUAAAAUAUAUAUUUGUUUCCGCUGUGUACUUUAUGUUAAUUUUUCUUAUACAUGAUUCAUGAAAACUCAACACCUCAAACAUAUGGGUAAUCGAACAUUGUGAAUUUAUAAGCCUCUUUCAGUCUUCCAAUAUCAAAGUCAGCAGUUGUGUUCGUUUGAACUUGUGACAUUCUUCAACUUGCACUUAUCACAUCGACCAACAAAGGAAUCUAACUGGAUUUAUAUAUAACAAUUUUGGCAGAUGUGAUUAAAGACCCCGCUUCAUAUUCUGGUCCAAUAUUAGAAGCCGUAGAUGGCAUUUUACAACACUCACAUUCUCUUGCCUCACUGCAUGCUAAUCUAUUGCUGCAACCACUGAAAAUGGAACAUUUGCAGGAGUGUGAGCAGGAGUUGCACAUUGCAUUGAUGUAUUAGUUAAAGUUUCAGUAGAAACCUCAAUUUCACCAAACAUGCAACCCCGUUUGGUUCAGCAAAAAUUUUCUUGCUACCCAUUGGAAAAAGAUCAUUUCCAUAUGAAAAAGAAAACCAAAAAAUGGAUAUAUGCAGUUAACUGUAAAGCCAGGUUCCAUACACUACCUCUUUCAGUUCUCUACAGUAAACAACAACAAAGUGCUCAAGCUGCCUGAAGAUAAGCAAAAGAGCAAGUCGCACAAUGUAGUGUAUACUCAAUAAUAACUCAUAUUCCCAUAAUGCGGUGCUAAAAUCUUGAAAGACAACAAACUUCUCGUUGUCAGAUGUGAAGAAUUCCAGACCUUUGCUGCUUCACCUAUUUUGAGACUGGUGAGGUUAAACUAACUGAGAAGAUCAUCAUACAAGCUAAUCAUAAUCAUAACAAUACCAUCUACGUGGAUUCACUUCUAGAACUAUAGUGUUUUAUGUUUUGAAUUUGCCUUUCUAUAAACUUCAAGAAUAUAAAGGUAAGGAUGCCAAGAAGGAAGCUUAAUCUACACACACUUUUAAAUGGAACACAACAUAUAUGCAUCAAAUCUUUUCAGCUGCACUUUUUUGCAAUGACAUGCCACGACUAGCUCCACAGUUAAGCAAAAAAUGAUUCUGAUGAGAAGAACUAAUUUAACAAAGGCUUUGCACCAAGAUGAUGAAUGCACGCAUCAUUUAAAUCCAUGGCAACACAAAACCACAAACACGUAUUAGAAUUUUCGUGGAUAUCUAAUCAAUGAACCUUUUUUGGCUCUGCACACAUCACAAAUAGCUACUGAGUGAAGCAUAAAGAUGAUUUUCAUGGAAAGGACAAAAAUAAAUUUAAUCAAAGCAUUGUCACGACAUGAUAGCUUCUAGUCAUUGAAAAUUGCAAAACAGAGGGACCAGCAACACCGGCAAAUAGACAAAAUAACCUUUCCAACAUGAAUGGAGUGUAAAUAUGUUCGGAUGCAAGGUGAUUAUUGUAAGUUUAAAGACAUAAAGCAGUUUGACAUGUCAUGUAGAAAAAUCUGCAUGGAACAGUUCCCUAGGCUAUCUGAUCUUUCCCAGUUAACAAUGAUGACUGCAAACUAUGAGUAUUUUCAAAACUUCCCUAGGCUAUCUGAUCUUAUUUAUGCAUGUAUCUUAUUAGCUUAAGCUUGCAGCUCUCUAUGUUCCACAAUCUGCUCUCCAAAUGUUAUCGUUGUGUUUUUCUUUCAUGACAUAGUGGUUAUCCAAUGCAGGUAUGUCAAGCCACCAAUUUUUACUCUCUGUGUCGGUAAUGCAUGGGGAGAAGCUGCCUUACUUUUAGCAGCUGGUGCAAGGGGGAACCGUUCUGCUUUGCCAUCUUCGACAAUCAUGAUGAAGCAGGUUUUUCCUGCACCUUUGAAGUUCCUAAGUUAUUUAUACCUUUUAUUUCGUGGCCUUUUCAGAGUCUACAUUCUGUCAGGGAUCAACUUAGGCAGCCUGCUUGAAUUCUAAUAAUUCUUGUGUAUCUUCUGUCUGUGAAUUGCUAGCCAAUUGCAAGAUUUCAAGGUCAAGCAACAGAUAUCGAUCUUGCCAGGAAAGAAGUGAAGAAUGUCAAGGCAGAGUUGGUAAGAUAAAUCACUUUGUUGGUUUGAGAUAUCUGUGAGAUUUGUCUUCUAUAGGCAUGAGAUUACUAUUCUGGUGGAUGACAUGAUCUAAUCAAUGCACUUUAAUUCAAAAUCAGAGUGAGCUGAGCUCGCAAAAGCGCAGCAAAUCAUGGCCAUUUGCUCUUUGAAGCUUUCAUGUCCAUCAGUUUUAAGUUAAUCAAAGCAAGAGGUCCUUCGGAUUGGAUUCACCCUUUCUACCUUGGGCGAUGUCCUUUAAAGUCAACACCACUAGUACAAAUAAAUUAAAGGAAUGCUUAAAUUGGUUGAACUGGCUUGCUGCUUAAUUGUAGUGAUUAAUGCUUGCUAACAAGCUCUGCCCUCUAUGUUAGCCCACAACUGAAGCAGAUAGCUUACUCAUUUUAAAUAAUAAGGCCUAUUUAUAACCGGAAAGUGAUGAUCUUUUGCUUUAUUAUGUGGAUAAGUAGAGGUCAUAUUACAUCUGUCUGAGCUUCUUCUACUUAUAGAACAUCAUAGACCACCUACUUCGUGCCGCAUUCUAAAAGUCCAAGUUAGGUCCAAAGCUACUCCACUAAAUUGAAAAUGAUCUGCAAAGCUUCAGAGAAAGUCUUCCAGUGUUUGUUUAAAAAAUUGAAAACUUUACAGAUCAAGAGAAUAUUGUUACUCGUUUCUUUGUCAUCCUGGCUCUUUUUGGUUUGCCUCUUUGCUUCAUCAUGUUAACUGAAAUGUGGUACUAGUAGAGGGUCGGUUCUUUGCAGGGUUCUACGAAUGCGUGUUUAGUGCUGUUCUCAUUAGAUCGUUGUGUUGGAAUGAUGUUCUCAAUAAGUUCCAAUUCCAAUACAGAUAGAAGAGCCUGUUUUAAUUACCAUCUAGAGGGUGGGGGCCUAUCUUGUAGAAACUGGCAACUAUGUACAUAUAAAGGAGUGAAUUGAGCAAACGAAAGAAUUUACUUUUGGAGUCUUGUGAUGCUUCUUCGAGACACUGAAGUGGGAACAACUUCCUGCUGACAAUUUGUGAAGGUUAAACUCUAUGCGAAGCAUAUUGGAAAAACACCAGAGGAAAUCGAAGCUGACAUCCGAUGACCUAAAUAUUUUAGUCCUAGUGAAGCGGUUGAGUAUGGUAUCAUAGACAAGGUAUGCCCACUGUGUUGUCUACUUGAUUUUGCUUGAUUUCAUGGUGUGCUUAGUAUGGUUACCUCACAGGUGCUAUACAAUGAGACGAGCAGUGAAGAUCAUGGAGUUGUAUCUGACCUGAAAAAAGCGCAACUUAUAUGAUAACGAUGCUGUAAAAUGAAAUUGCUAUUUAUACAGGGGAUUCAGGUAAAGAAUGAGUAAGAUAUUCUUCAACGUGUAAAUUUUUCUGUCAAAAAUUUUACAUAUACCCACUUUGUAUAUUCAGCAGAUUGCACAACUAAUUUGUUGUUAGAGAGUAUGCUUGUUAUAAUAAGAAUGAAAAGAAAAUGUGCAAUACAAAAUGAAGACAGCAGCUAACGAGAAUUGGGUACGAGCAAAAGCUUCAACUUUGGGAUCAUAUGCUCCUAUUGAACAUUUUCUCUCGAGUCUUCUUCUGUUAUCCAAAUUUUGUCAAUGGGUCGUUCCUCUUAGUUCAGUGUCAAGGAGGUUCUAGCAAGGGAGAAGGAUAUGCUAAUCCUUUUCAUGGACAUCCCACCUUAGUGUUGCCCCAUUUUUGCUCUUUUGCUUUUGCAAAACUCUAGUGACUUGACAUCUGGAAAGAGUGGUGGCACAACCUUCUGGUUCGACGAUGACAUUGCUUUCCCUGAUCUGAUUUUGUUGUCAUGAUUGUUCUUCCUGAAAUUAGAGAGGCUGGGGAAAGGCCUUGCUGGUUGGUAGAUCUUGCAUCUAGGCUGAUGGGACAUUAGCCGGGUGUCCCCUGUUGCAUUUUGAAGUGCUGAGGACCCGCCCAUCUAGGAGUGGUAUCUUUUGGAAUAUUACAGAUAGUCGGCAUAAUGCAUCCAUUGCUUUUCAGUAGAUAUUUGCAUUAGCAAGUAAAUAUAUGAUUGAAAUGAAAUGACUCAAAAGAAUUGGCUUUUUAGCUCAGAGGUCACCUACAAAAUCCGCUGAGCUGUUCGGUUGAAAACAUGCAGGUGACAUUGUCAAUAACGGUUCUGACGCGCAAUUCCCAUCAACAUCAGAAAGCCUAGGUGUCAGCUAUGAAGUGGGAAUGAGACUUCUAAAGCUCACAGUAUUGGAUUUAUUGCUAGAUGCCAUUAUACAUGUAUUUUCACAUCUGUAAGGUCUAUCUCGUGUAGUUGCAUAGGCAGCAUCAUUGUCUCUUUUUUAAUUUGAUUUAUCAACAGUUGAAACAAUAAGUAGGAAGAGCUUGUUAAUGUACUAUUUGAAUAAUGAUGUGGUUUUUUAGUCGGUUGAUGCUUCCGUUCAUGACUAUAUAGGAAUCAAGCCACUUUUCCAAUUAGCAAAUCUGAAUUUACAGGUUGCAUGGUGACUCCGUUCCAACAUAAAAAGUUAGCCUACACUUAGCGUGAUUCUUGGCAUGGUUUUUUCUGCCGUAAAUCAUCAACUACUGAAUCUCAGUGUGUUCCACAUUUGCAGCGUGAAUUAAUUUUAUGCCUCCUAUAAUAAACACCGCAUGUCUGACGAAAAUGAAACGGAACAGAUGUUCAAUACUCUCUUUGUCUCUCUCUCUCGAUCGAACUUUGUGGAAGGAGGAGAAGCAUCUAAUCUUAUAUAUGCCUGAACAUGGGAGCUGAACACGUAAAUAGUCCUGCAUUUUCUCCGGUUCUGCUAAUGUCACUUUUUCUGUGCCUGGCCUUCGAAAUUUCUCUCUCGCGCGCGCGCACACGACCAGAUUCAACCUAGAGCGGUGUACUCGUAUUUGAAGUGAGGUUGCCACAUGGGCGGCAAGGAUCCGUAGUCACCUACCCCACUCUGUACCUCAAUCGUGUCUCCACAUCAUGCUCCGCUAAAAUUUCUACCCUUUUUCCGUGCAUAUUGCGUCACUCGGAAUGCUGCUCAAAAUAGGGAAAGGUCUUUGAGGUGUCAAAAACCAAUUUGCUUUAUCGAUCCGUAGUGACAAUCAUUCGGGUGCUUUUAAGCCUAAUUUGCCAUUUGUUUUUUACUGAAUUUCGACAGGGGAAAAAGGAACCGUAGGUUACCUAGUAUUCUAGAGUUCUUAAGUGCGCUGGGACCAAACGAUGACUCAACCAAAUGAUGACUUGUCGGCAAUGUCCAGUUGUUGAUAGUUCAUAGUUUUGCUUUGACUUCAGCAAAUCAAUUCAAUUCAGAUUUAAGUAGCAAGAGAGUCUUGCUCAGCAACUAAGUGGGUUUUUACUGUUGUGAGUGCUUCUAGCUAUUAGGUUUUCAUUAAAUUAUAUCUAGAAAGCUGUUUUGUAGUCUCAUGAUCCUCAUGUCUCAAUAGUGUUACUAUUUGCGAUGAACUCGACCGAAUUUUUUGAAUAUUUCCAAUAGCAAUUUGGCGCCCGAUAUACAUUUGUCACUGCAAAGACGAUUGCAAACAACUUACUACUCAAUAUGUAAUAUUAUGAGAUCAAAGAAUUAUAAAUGAAUGCUCCAUUUUGAUAAUAGCUUCAUACUUAUAGGGGAAGCGGAAGAGAAGUAUUUCAAGCUAAUGAAAAGAGAUGAAAAUCUUUCCUAAGAUCAAAACCCUCAUGUCUCAAUGGUAUUACUGUUUGCAGUGAACUCAACUGAAUUUCUUGGAUACUUCCAAUAGGAAUUUGGCCCCCGAUAAACAUUUGUCACCAUAAAGACAAUUGUAAACUUACUACUCAAUAUGUAAUAUUACAAGAUCGAAUAAUUAUAAAUGAACGUCGCAUUCUGAGAAUAGCUUCAUACUCACACGGGAAGCGAAUGAAUAUAUAUCAAAAUCUAUCAUGAGAUGAAGAGAUUGCGAAAUGCUAGUACUGCGCAUAAGUUUGGGAUUUCUUCGUUUAACUAGAAGGUCAAUUUUCUAUGAAUGUCGAAGCACAAUGUGUUAUGAGUCAUAGCACGCCGGAUUAAGUGCAGAUGCAGUGAGCUGACCAAAUGAGAAAAGAGAAGCAAAAGGUUAUUAAUAUAAUAAGCCUUCCAAUUGUAGUUUAUGUAAUGAUGAAAUAUCUUAGUGAAAGGGUCCACGGAAGGUCCACACGUACUUAUCCAAUGUAUUCUAAUUCUACAAGCUCAAGUCUCCCUUGGGUUCUGUACUAUCUGCUCACAAGUGGAGGGAAAAAUAGUGGGUGGUCCUCAAGAACCUGACCCUCAGGAUCUCAGCUAUAAAUAUGGGAUCUUGGUUAUGAAUGUUUCUCAUCCCAAAACCUUCUUGUCCAUUUCCCUCUCUCUCUCUAGUCGAGUCCUCUAGGCUUGAGUUUACUUGUCUUGCAUUAGGAUCAGUACAUUGAGUGAAACAUGAAAUCUGCAAUGAACUAUAGUUGUCUUCUCUGUAUCCUGGUGCUCUUGCCAGCACUUUGUCACUCUGAAAAUUCAUUUACGCCCUCGAGAGCCACUUACUAUGGCAGCCCUGACUGCUAUGGGACUCCAAGUAUGUGCACGCUCCGUCUCCUGUGAUAGAAACCAAGCUUGCAUCAGCCACCGCACCACACAAGCGCCGCACAUAAAUUAUGUUCACACAUUAGUGUGAAGCUAGUAGAGCACUAGUCGCUAAAAUAGUAUCUUGUCAUGAAAAGUACACAAAACAACAUUUCUUGUCUUUAAAGUAACUUUUUUAACUUCGUUUAUGGUCAUGUGGCAUGCUCUGUUACAUCAUGAAUAACUUUUCGUGGGUAUGCGCUCUUUCCCUUGAUACUCAGCAGAGCGCAAUAUAACAUGAGAAGAUCUGUGUAGUAGCAUGUCUCGCUCGGUACUUGAAGGCUUGGUUGUUCACAUGCACUCUUUGAACCGCUCCAUUUCAUUAUGCCCAAACCAAACAUUUGAAACAGAACAAUUUUUGCUAGAGAAGAUCUAAUGAGUGCAAUGUUUAUGGCAGCUGGAGCUUGUGGGUACGGCGAGUAUGGCAGGACCGUCUACGAUGGCUAUGUGACUGGAGUUUCGAGGCUAUACAGAAAUGGAUCUGGAUGUGGUGCUUGCUAUCAGGUUUAACUUCAUAUAGACUACACAUAAAUAGAUGAUGACUCUUUUUGACUUUUUCAUCAGUCUAAUUUUACUUUUUUUAAGUAUAGGUGAGGUGCACGAAACCGCAGUGCACGGGCGAAGGAGCGUACGUGGCGGUGACGGACUAUGGCGAGGGAGACAGGACGGACUUCAUCCUGAGCACCAGAGCCUAUGCGAAGAUGGCAAAACCGGACGACUACCAAACCAAGCAGCUGUUCGCCUACGGCGUGGUUGAGGUCGAAUUCAGAAGGGUUCCGUGUCGAUACCCCGGCCAAAACCUCCUUGUCAGCGUCAGUGAACACAGCAGAAACCCUUCUUACUUAGCUGUCAUGCUUUUAUACGUCGCCGGCAAAGAUGACGUCAUAGCUGCGGAGUAUUGGCAGG